rnacentral:lncRNA from 1 species
AUCUCUGCGUGACUUCCGCCAGCGUUUAGAGCGUUUUCGGGGUCCGAGUUGAAGAGCAAAACCAAGUGAAGGAAACUUCACUAAGUUCAGGGUGACAAGGGAGGAAGUACAGAGACUGCACUUUAAAUUCUGGAUGACAGACCUAUCAGGACUGAGUGGACCUUUGAGUGACAAGAUGGGGGUGUUCCAAAGAGACCAUGGCAGCCUGCAGCUAGGACUUUAAUGCAAGUGGUGAUGCUGUGAUAUCUAGUGCUUUAAACAAAUCUCUUUUUUUAAGUGACAGGGUUUCCAAAUUGUUAUUUCUACUUUAACAGAUCAAUAGGGACAAAAAGUUGAUUCACUUGGUCUAAUGUGGUAGGAAUAGGUGAAAUACUAAGACUGGAUCCUACACUCUACUUCCCAUCAGGCACCCAUUCUUAUGAAUAGAGAUUCCAUAGGGGCCACACACAAUCCCAGUACUUUUUUCCCAGUUAAUUGAGAAAAUUAAAGCCAUCAUACAAUAUAUAACUUCCUCCCUCUCCACUUCUGUCAAUGCCACAUAUAUCCACCUGUCUUAUUUGUCUGUCUCAGAAAAUGAAAUGUACUUCCUCCACCAAUGUAUGACCACUGUUUCUUGUUCUAGACCUCUCUUUUGCAUUUGGUAUCAUUGAUUAAACCCUCCUUGAAACUCGUUUUGCAUUUCUCCCAUCUUUUUCUACCUGUCUCAUGCUUCUUGGGGGUCUUUUUUUCUCUGCCUACCCAUUAAAUAGUAUUUCCCAAAGUUCCAACCUUGAGUUGUUUUCUGUCUGUAUCUUCCCUGUGAGCACUGUCCACUCAUUGUUUUAACCUAUUUGCUCAUGGAUUCUAAAACUACUGCUAUUCCUGACCUGUUCCUUGAAGUUCCGACUUUCGGGAGGCUCACGAGCCCUUCAAACUCUAAUUUGUCCUUUGCUUUCAUUUGUACUCCCAAUUCUAUCUCAUCUCACUGCUUUCAGCCAUAACUACUACCACCCCCACCUACACCGCCAAAUCCAUCUUGUAAGUAGCAGCCAGAAUGACCAGUCUCAAAUGUAAAUCUAUUUCACUUGCCUCCUUAAAUUUCUAAUCUUCCUCUGCAGUCACCUUCAAGAUAGUCCAACUCCAUGGCCUGGUGUGCUAGGGUCUUCAUUAUCUUGCCACUGUUUUCCUUCCCAGUCUUGUUUCCCUUUCCAGUACCAUCUCCCAUCCUACCCACUUCGCAUUCAUGAGGCUGCUUUACACCUGAGACCUUUUGCAUUCUUGUUGACUUUGUCUGGACUAUCUUUAUUUUCUUUGGCUGACUCUUCCUUAUCCUUACUAAUUUUUUAGGGCUCUUGCAAGAAGCCUUUCCUUGUUCCAUAGUCUGAGUUAGUUGACUUUUCUCUCUGCUUUCUUGACAUUUGUGGGUUCAUUCAGAAAAUAUUCAUUGAACCCUUAUUUUGUGCCAGACACUGAGCUAGAUACUAGAAAUAUAAUAAUGAACAAGCAAAUAUGGCAAUAACCAAUCUAAUAAUUUCCUGACAGAGUUUACAUUCUCAUAGGGAAAAAAGAAAAAAAAAAAGGCAGUUCAGUCUUAUUGGCUCCAUGCUUGAUAAUAGCUAGGAAUUGAAAGGGUAAAAAACAAGUAUUCUAGAUAGAGGCUAACAAUGUUUAUGAAGAAGAACACAGUCUAGGAACUGAGAGAUUCUAGACAGGGGUGGAGAGGUAAACAGGGACCAGAUCAUGAAGAACAUUAGUGAUGAUGUCACAAAGUUUGGACUCCUUCUUAAGGCUAAUAGUAACUUUGAAUGGUUUCAACAUGAUUAGGUUAGUAUUUAGAUGAUGAAUCGCUACUCUGAGAAAAAGAACUCAAAGGGCAGCAAUACCAGCAAGAAGGAAACCAGUUAGGAGAUAAUUGUAGUAAUCCAGGGAAAGAAAGAUGGCAGUUUAUACUGGGGCAUUGCCAGUGUGGAUAGAAAUAGAUCUCAGAAGAAUUUUAGGAAGUAGAAGUGGCAAAACUUGGUGACUGAAUUGUGAGGGCAGAAGUGGGAGAAAUCAAGGAUAGAGUUUCUUAAACAAGCUUUGGUGAAGACAGGGACUACCCUAUUUGCUGUCAUGUAUCCACAGCUUAGCACAAAUCUUUAUACGCUGGAGAUGCUUGAUAAGUACGAGUGAAAUUUUCUGGCUUGAGUACCCAGAUAAAUGGGAUGCCAGUCUCUGAUUUAGGUAACACAGAGGCAGACUCACUUGGGAGGUAACUGGUGAUUCAGUUUUAAACAUGUCUAGCUCAACAUGCCUGUGAAACAUACACAUGACAAUGUCCAGAUACAUGGCAAUUGGAUGAAUGAUUCUGAAACUCAAAAAGAGAGGUCUGAGAUGGAUUCUUUGCAUACUUACAAAAAAAAAGUUUAUGUUAUAUUGAAAUGAUCUGUUUUGUGCCUGUCUCCACUAUUAUACAGGGCUGGUUCUUAAUGACCUUUGAUGCUCCAACACCUAACACCAUGCCUGGUACAAACUGCACACUCAAUUAGUAUUUGUUGUUGAACUGAACUCCUUUUGAGACAUGAUGCGUCUAACAAAGUAAUAGUAGUAGCCUCUGAGGAGGGAAACUAGCAGGUCAGAGUGAAAAAGAAAUUUUCUUUUUGUUGAAUAUAUUUUAGUUCUUUUUGCCUUUUCCUCCAAUGUAUUUCUAUUUCCUGAGAAAUAAAAAGAUGACAUAAAAAGUGUUCUAUUAGAUUUUUGUGGACUUAAUACCGAAAGCAAUAUUCCAACUAUGUUCUAGUCACUAUAGAGUGGAAUAUUAAAAUGCUAUCUGAUAUUAUAUCAUAUUAGCUUUUUUUUUUUUUGAGAUAGGGUCUCACUGUGUUGCCCAGGCUGGUGUCAUCAUAGCUUACUGCAGCCUCAAACUCCUGUGCUCAAGCACCACAUUACGUUAUUGAUUGGUUUACAAAUUCUAUGGUUGUAUUAUUGAUGCCAUCAUUCAAUUCACUUAUAUGAAUUAUGAACAGUAAUAGCAAGAUGAAGUGAAAUUAUGAACACACAUUUUAUAUUAAGGGCAUGAGACAAAAUCUUUGAAACUAUGUACUGUAUUAUGCGAUAUAUACAAAAUCUGCAAAAGCAAACAAGUGUCAUUGUUUUAUACCUGCCUAAUGUUUCAUAUGAGAGGAAAUAAUGAUACGUCUCUCCUAUCAGCCAACAUUUCUAGCUUGCUGACAUAGGUAGCAUUUAAUAUGCAAAACCCUUUAAUCACAAAUAUCAGAAAGCACAUCUUAACUGUAGUUAUAAAUGGGUAAGUAAAAAUGCGUAAUGCUUUUAUAUAUUUUUGAGUUAGUAUUGUAGUGUAUAAUUUUAUAUAAAUGGUUGAGGCCAUAGAUAUUUUGAAAGUACGCUAGUAUUUAAAGAAAAUGGUAAAUUCUAGUAACACUUUUGAAUAUACAGCAUAUUCACUGGGUGGCGCUGUUGCAUUAGUGUUAACCUUACAUAGUUUGAAAGUUUUAUUUCAUUUUCAUUCAUAAAAGUAAAUUAGAGUGAUAAACAUUGAACACAAUGUUCUGGAUGAAAAAAAUUAGAUUCUAAAUUUAUUGGCAUUAGAAUACAUGUUUAGAGCCCAGGGUUAAGAAGAAAAAUAGCGUUGAAUUCAAAAUAGCUAUCUGCUUUUUAUUACCCUUUCAUCAUUACAAGCCUGUUAAUCCACUUGACUUCUCAGCUGUGUUCAUCUUUAUUAGUGGAUUUCAGAACUGAGCUGUACAUUUGCAAUACAGUAUCUUUGUUAAGGACUCGCAUGGAAUUCUUAGUUUGGAACUAUAAAGUACCUAUUCUUUGCUAAUUUGUGAUGAGCUCUAAACAAGAUCCAAGGAAGCAAAAAGUUGCUAUAUUAAACUCUAACCUCUCUAGUAUCAUUUCCCCAACUUUCACAGCAAACUCUAUUAUUUUAAUAUAGUUAGUAUAGAGAACCUUAGGAAUUAUCAGCUGAAACAAAUUAGAUAUUCUUAAAAUUUUUUGGUCAAUGUGACUUUUUAAAAUUCAGUUUUCUUUUGUAGAGAUGGGGUCUCACUAUGUUGGCCAGGCUGAUCUCGAACUCCUGGCCUCAGGCAGUCCUACUGUCUUGGCCUCCCAAAGUGCUGGAAUUACAGGAAUGAGCCAACAUACCCGGCCUAACUUCAAUUUUUAUAUUCUGUAUAUUUUCAAUAUUAGUAUUACAAUAUCCAGUGCUAUUUUUCAGUUAUUUCAAAUGAGUUAAUGAGAUUCUCAGGAAAAAUACUGAUCUUAAUGUAGUCUAAUUUUAUUUGAAUAGUUUUUGGGGCACAGGUCCUUUUUGGUUACAUGAUUGAAUACUUUAUUAGUGAUUUCUGAGAUAUUAGUACAUCUGUCACCCGAGCAGUGAUUGUACUCUAAUUUUUAAUUAGUUAGUUAUAACACAUUUUAGAAGGGUGUCUUAGUUCGUUCAGGCUGCUGUAACAAGCUGCCACAAACUGGGUACCUUAAAAGCAACAGAAAUGUAUUUCUCACAGUUCUGGAGGCUGGAAAGAUCAAGGCCCUGGCAGCUUUGAUGUCUGGUGAGGGCUUGCUUUCUGGUUCAUACAUGGCAUCUUCUAGCUGUGCCCUCGCAUAAUGGAAGGCAUGAAUGAGCUUUGUUGGACCUCUUUUUUAAGGGCACUAGUCCCAUUCAUGAAGGCUCCCCUGUCAUGAAUUAAUCAUUUCUCAGAGGCCCCACCUCCUAAUAUCACCUUGGGAGUUGGAAUUUCAAAAUAUGAAUUUUGGGGAGACACAAAUAUUCAUGCCAUAGCAGAAGGGGAAUUUUUAAAAAAUGAAACUCAUAAUAACUAUCAUAAAUCAGAAAAAUUUGGGGAUAAGUAGGUUUUUUUUGUUGUUGUUGUUGUUGUUUUGUUUUGUUGGUGUUUUGUCACAGUUCUGGUGCCAUGUUAUCAUUCUCAUGAAUUCUUUAUGAUAGUGAUUUAUAUUGUCUAGAGUACAUUUUCUAAUAUGGACCCUUAGGAGAAAAUCACUUCUAAGUUCUCUAUAUCUUUUUCAAAUCCUGUUUUCUCAAAAAGGGGUCUAAGUCUAUGCAUUUCUAUAUAAGUACCAAGUAAUAUUAUCUCAUUUCAUCUUUAGUCUUUGGAAAAAUCAGCUGCCAGUUUUUCUUUACUCUUUAUUAAGCAAAUUCAACCUGGUAAACACAGUUUGACCAUAUAUAUUCAAAAUUAUUACCUGAAUAUUGUUCCUAGGACAAUCCAUUAAGAUAAUUUCCAUUUAUACACCUUUAUACAAUAUUUUAUAAUAAUGAUAGUGCAUAUUUGCAGAAGAUGUACCAGAUGCCAGGUGUUCUCCAUGUAUUACCUCAUUUAAUUAUCACAACAACUGCAUGAAGUAGUUUCUCUUCCUAUUCCAUUUAUAAACACACACACACACACACACACACACACACACACAUAUAUAUCUUAUUUACUUUAAAGAAAACUGGAACAACUAGCUCAAGGUCACAUAUCUAGGAAACCAGGAAGACAAAAGUUGAACCCAAGUAAUUAAUGUUAGAAGCUCUGUCCCUAGCUCCUCUACUGUGCUUCCUAAUCUCAAACGCUUACACUGGUGGAGGCAGUGUUAAUUUUUGUAACCUGUGCAGCAGACCCUUUUUAUGUUCUACAGAUUUUAUCCCUGAAUCCUUCUAGAAAGGAUUGUAUCCUUAGAUACCUACUAUUCUACCACUUCCCUACAGUACAACACAAAAGAUAUAGACCUAUGAAGGGUUCCUCAGUUCUGUGGGGAAGGGUUUAGUUGGUUGGAUACUUUGAAUUUCUUUGCUAUGCUUUGUUGUUCAAGGGAUUAUGUGUCUCUCUCCCUCCAUAAGCCUUUGGGUGGGUUGGCAGUCUUACACAGACCUUCUAGGCCUUCAGAGAUGCCCUACAUAUGUAUUGUCUCAUUCCUGACUCUAUUUUAUUCCUCUGGAAGCCUCUAGGGUCUCUCCCAUCCCUUUCUUUCCUAGAAUCUCCUAUCACUCCAAAGAGAGAAUAAAGUUCUCUCUCAGUUUUCUUCCUUUGUGUUAAAUAUUUCACAGCUUAGUGAUUUGUUGAUUGCAGUUGCCUCUAGUUCUGUUCAUUGGCUAGGGCUUUUCUGAAGAUUUUCUCCUAGAGUUAGUAUUAACUAAAACAAAACACAUUUAACCACAUAUUCUACCCUGAGGAUUAAUUUUUUUUAAAGAAAAUAACUAUUUUUCUGCAUGAGGAAUUUAUAAUAACAUAAUUUUGACAUUAUUUCUUUAGAAUAAACCAGACUAUGUUGUGUUAAGAGACAUUUCUACCCCAAUUGAUAUUGAACUAUUUAUCUGAAGUCACUGUUUAUCCCCUUACCACAGCUCAGGUGUAACGUUAUAUGGGGAAUUAGUACAUUUUAUUUCACCCUGUUAUAUUUUUAUUUUAGGUUGAAAGACAGAAAGUAGAAUGGUAAACCAUGCAGGUGAUUAGCUAAGUAGAAAGUAGAAGUUUAAACUAAGAUUCUAAUCUCAAGAUAAAUCAGACUUGGCAGGUAUUGCAGAGGUUUUGUGUGGAUUACAAAUACAAUAGCCAUCAUGCCAUCAACCAGAAUUCAUUGAAUACAUGCACUUGUCAGACCCUGUGUUUUCACAACCAAAAGUUAGGACAGAUUACUUACCAGUACAAAAUAAUGUUUUCACUUUGGAUUCUUCCCUGUGUGCGAAAAUAUAAUGCUCUUAUAUCUGCUGGAGUCCAGAUUCCUGUCUACUAAUCCAUUUUUCACAUCAUCACAAUCUACCUUUUUUAUCUAACCUAAUCAUCCAGUACUGUUUAAAAUGUAUUCUCUGCUUUAAUCAGGCUAGUUUCCUUAAACAAUCCUGGUUCAUAUCACUGUCGUUUUCAGUAGCUUACUUCUACCCUGUGCGCCUUGCUCCUUUUCCAUUUAGGAUUCCCUUUGCCCUCUUUUCAACCUAGCCAAAUUUAGUUCAGCUACCACUUCUUUCACCAGUCCUUUAGUUUCCACUUCACUUCAUACAGAUCUUUCUUUUAUUUAGUCUCCCAUUACAUAUAACUACUAUCUGUCCCACAUAAUUAUUGUAUUAGUCCGUUCUCACACUGCUAUAAAGAACUGCCCAAGACUGAGUAAUUUAUAAAGAAAAGCAGUUUAGUUGACUCGCAGUUCAGCAUGGCUGGGGAGGCCUCUGGAAACUUACAAUCAUGGUGGAAGAGGAAGCAGGCAUGUCUUACAUGGCAGCAGGUGAGAGAGCAAGUGAAGGAAGCCAAGGGGGAAGAGCCCCUUAUAAAACCAUCAGAUCUCAUGAGAACUCACUCACUAUCAUGAGAACAGCAUGGAGGAAACCACCCCCGUGAUCCAGCCACCUCCCACCAGGUCCCUCCCUCAACACCCGGGGAUUACAGUUCAAGAUGAGAUUUGAGUGGAGACACAAAGCCAAACCAUAUCAAUUAUAUAUAAGCAUAUCUUGUUUUAUUGCACUUCACAUAUCUUGUUUUAUUGCACUUCACUUCAUUAUGAUUUGCAGAUACUGCAUUUUUGACAAAUUAAAGGUAUGUGGCAACCCCACAUUGAGCAAGUCUGUCAGUGCCAUUGUUAACAGUGGCAUGUGCUCAAUUUGUGUCUUUGUCACAUUUUGGUAAUUCUCUCAAUAUUUUAAACUUUUUAAUUAUAUAUCUAUUAUGGUGAUCUGCAAUCGGUAAUCUUUGAUGUUACUAUUAUAAUUGUUUUGGGGCACCAAGAACCACCCAUAUAAGAGAACAAACUUAAUAAGUAAAUAUUGAGUGUGUUCUAACUGCUUCAUUGACCAGCCAUUUUCCCAUCUCUCUCCCUCUCCUUGGGCCUCCCUAUUUCCUGAGACACAGCAAUAUUUGAAUUAGGCCAAUUAAUAACCAUAUAAUGUCCUCCAAGCCUUCAAGUGAAAGAAAGAGUCAAAUGUCUCACUUAAAAUAAAAACUAGAAAUGAUUAAACUUAGUGAGAAAAGCAUAUCAAAAGCUAAGAUAGGCCAAAAGCUAGGCCUCUUGUGCCAGACAGCCAAUUUGUGAAUGCAAAGGAAAAGUUCUUGGAGGAAAUUAAAAGUGCUUGUCCAGUGAACACACAAAUGAUAAGAAAGCAGAACAGCCAUAUUGCUGAUAUGGAGAAAGUUUGAGUGGUCUGGAUAGAUCAAAUCAGCCACAACAUUUUCUUAAACCAAAGCCUAAUCCAGAGCAAGGCACUUGCUCUCUUUAAUUAUAUGAAGGCUGACAGACAGGAGGAAGAAGAAAAGUUUGAAGCUAGCAGAGGUUGGUUUGUGAGGCUUAAGGAAAGAAGCCAUCUUUAUAACAUACAAGUGUGUUAUGGUUAGGCUUUGUGUCUCCACACAAAUCUGGUCUUGAAUUAUAAUCCUCAUAAUCCCCAUGUAUCAAGGGAGAGAUCAGGUGAAGGUAAUUGGAUUAUGGGGUGAUUUCCCCCCUUCUGUUCUUGUGAUAUUGAGUUGUCAUGAGAUCUGACGGUUUUAUAAGGGGCUCUUCCCCCUUUGCUCGGCAUUUCUCUUUCCUGCUGCCUUGUGAAGAAGGUGCCUUGCUUCCCCUUUGCAUUCCGCCAUGAUUGUAAGUUUCCUGAGGCCUCCUCAGCCAAGCUGAACUGUAAGUCAAUUAAACCUCUUUCUUUAUAAAUUACCCAGUCUCAGGCAGUUCUUUAUAGGAGUAUGAAAAUGGACUAAUACAAAGUGUAGAGUGAAGCAGCAAGUGCUAAGGCAGAAGCUGCAACAGAUUAUGCAGAAAAUCUUGCUAAGAUGAUGAAAGUGACUACGCUAAACAACAGAUUUUCAAUGUAGACAAAACACCUUCUUUUGAAAGAAGAUGUCAUCUAAGGCCUUUUUUUUUUUUUUUUUUUUGAGACGGAGUCUUGCUCUGUCGCCCAGGCUGGAGUGCAGUCGCGCAAUCUCUGCUCACUGCAAGCUCCACCUCCCGGGUUCAUGCCAUUCUCCUGCCUCAGCCUCCCGAAUAGCUGGGACUACAGGCACCCACCACUGCGCCCGGCUAAUUUUUUGUAUUUUUUAGUAGAGAUGGGGUUUCACCGUGGUCUUGAUCUCCUGACCUCGUGAUCCGCCCGCUUCGGCCUCCCAAAGUGCUGGGAUUACAGGCGUGAGCCACCGCACCUGGCCCAUCUAAGGACUUUCAUAGCUAGAGAAGAGAAGUCAUUGCCUGGCUGCAAAGCUUCAAAGGACAGAAUGACUCUUGUUAGGGGAUAAUGCAACUGGUGACUUUAAGUUGAGGCCAGUGCUCACUGACCAUUCUGAAAAUUCUACAGCCCUUAAGAAUUAUGCUGAAUCUACUCGGCCUCUACUCUGUCAAUGGAACAACAAAUCCUUGAUGACAGCACAUCUAUUUAAAGCAUGGUUUACUGAAUAUUUUAAGCUCCCUAUUGAGACUCUGUCGAGACUGGAAAAAAGAGAUUUAUUUCAUAUUACUGCUCAUUAAUAAUGUUCCUAGUCACCCAAGAGCCCUGAUUGAGAUUUACAAGGAGAUUAAUAUUGCUUCUUGCCUGCUAAUACAACAUCUGUUCUGCAGCCCAUGGAUCAAGGAAUAAUUUCAAACUUCAAGUCUUAUUAUUUGAGAAAUAUAUUUCAUAAGGCUAGACCUGCUUCAGUGAUUCCUCUUAUAGAUAUGGCAAAGUAAACUGAAAACCUUCUGGAAAGGAUUCACCAUUCUAGAUGCCAUUAAGAUCAUUUGUGAUUCAUGGGAGGAGGUCAAAAUGUCAAUUUAUUAUAAUAGGAAUUUGGAAGAAGUUAAUUCCAGGCCUUAUGAAUGACUUCAUGACUUUAGUGGAGGAAGCACCUGAAGAUGUGAUGGAAAUAGCAAGAGAACUAGAAUUAGAAGUGGCACCUGAAGAUGUGACUAAAUUGCUGCAAUAUUAUAAUAAAACUUGAAUGGAUGACGAGUUGUUUCUUUUGGAUAAGAAAAAAAAAAAGGUUUCCUUAGAUGGAAUCUAUUGCUGGUAAAGAUUCUCUAAACAUUGUUGAAAUGACAGCAAAGGAUUUAGAAUAUUACAAAACUUUGUUGAUAAAGCAGUGGCAGGGUUUGAGAGUACUGACUCCAAUUUUGUAAGAAGUUCUAUGGGUACAAUGCUAUCAAACACCAUCACAUUCUACAGAGAAAUCUUUCAUGAAAGGAAAAGUCAACUGAUGUGGCCAACUUCAUUUGUUGUCUUAUUUUAGGAAAUUGCUGCAGCCACCUAAACCUUCAGCAACCACCACCCCCGCUUUUUUUUCUGUCACCCAAGUGGGAGUGCAGUGGCACUACCAUAGUUCACUGUAACCUCUAUCUCCCCAGCUCAAGUGAUCCUCCUGCCUCAGCCUCCCAAAGUGCUGGGAUUACAGGCAUGAACCACUACACCCAGCCUAUCAGUCAUCACCCUGAUCAGUCAGUAGUCAUCAAUACCAAGGCAAGACCCUCUAUAAGCAAAAAGAUGAUGACUCACUAAAGACUCAUAUGAGCAUUAGCAUUUUUUAGCAAUAAAGUAUUUUUAACUUAGGAUUUGUGUAUUUUUAGACAUAAUAUUUUUGUACAUUUAACAGACUAUAGUGUAAACAUAACUCUUUAUAUGCACUGAGAAACCAAAAAAUUUGUGUCAUUCCCUUUAUUGUGAUACUCACUUUAUUGCAGUGGUGUGGAACUGAACCUGCAAUAUCUCUGAGGUAUGCCUGUACAUAAUUAUGUACUAUUUUAUAUUGGUUUUGAGUCAUUUCAUGCAGGUAAAUUUGAUUAUCUCAAUUAAAUUGCAAUACCUUUAAAGUCAAAGACUGAGUCUUAUUUGGACUUUUUAUUCUCAUGACAGUGAACUAUUGGCAUGGCUCAAUCCAUUGACCUGUUUUGGUUCCUGAUGAAGUUUUGUUAAUUUAAAUGAGAAAAAUAAGGACAGUGAAAAACAGAGCGCUUAAAAAGCACUGUCUGGAUAUCUUCAGAGGGAAAAAGGAGAAAGUUAACUGAAUUGGUGACACUUCGGGUCUCUCACAGAGGAAGGUAAGGUUUCAGUCAACAGCACAUAGAGGAUUAUCCUCAUUUACCCAGGACUGACAGUGUUUGUGAAUUCUAAAGCUGUGCAUGUAGUGAAUAUACAAGAUAAAAUUGAAAUGAGAAUAACGGAAUAGCAUUGUAGAAAUGAUUAAAAUGUACCCAAGCCCCAAGUUUUCAGAUAACAUGAUAGUUUUCUAAUGGUGAAACUGUUUAAGAUGUAUAGUCAUAAAAAAGAUUAAAAAAAAUAAGAAACAGUUGUAUAGCCAACUUUUAAUAAUCUGUGUUAUAGACUCCAUAGCAGAUCUGAAGGUAGCUAUAUGCCAGCAGCAGAAGGUGCACCCUGGAGCACAGUUUUGUAGCAGUUCUCCAAGCUGACCAGCUGAGGACUAGUGACCCUACUUAAGAACAGUUGGCUAAGAGGAUAGUCAAGUGAGGGGAAUGUGCUACAAGAGAAUCAUAGUAGAUAGAGAUGCAAACAAAAGGGAGAGUCUUUCUUCUUGUUCCUUUCUGAUCUGUAGAACCUGCAGGCCCACUGUAGAGCUCCCAUUGGAGUACAGUGGAGCAUGAAGAGAGAAUCCUUAGGAGAGCUUGUCAAGGAAUUUGGGGGAGGAGUGUGUUUGCAAACAUGGGGGAAAGUACUUAUUAAUCAUUUAGAUGUUCUGCAGGCAGAAAGCUUACUAGUGUAGUGUGUAGGGCUGCAAGCCACCAAAGUAAUGACUACUUGAAAGAGGACCAAUAGUUUCUGAAGCUCUGUGUGAAAAGAUACAGUGGUUGGGGUGGGGUGCGGAAUCUCUAGAGCAGCUCAUACAGCCACAGGGCAAAGAGAGGGAACCCCCACACGGAAAAAAAGAUUGCAGCAGGGAUGGAGAGCUAGUAGCUUUAGGAUGACUAGACACUUCUGAAAGUGAGCACUCUGUCCUUACAGAGACCACCAAACCAACAGAAGCCACCAGGACAGCACACAGCCAUUCCAAAAUUCCAGACCAGGAUCAUUCCAGAAAAGCCUUACAUCUCAGUCCAGUAUAUGGAUGGUUUUGUAAGAUGACCUAUGAUUUUUCUGUUCCUCCUUCCUGCCCCUAACUUCAGAGAAACAGACCUAGAAAGAGGGAAGGAAGGAGUGAAAAAGCGUGCCAUACUUUAUCUUCUCCCCUUCUGUUUUAAACUAGACAAAUCUAUAUUUUAAUUAUUAUAAGUAACCAGAAAGUUAUAUGGUCUGGCCAGGAUGGCAUUAAAGAAAAUGAGAGAGAAAAGUUUAAGAUAGCAUGGUUGGAGACAAUAAGUAGAAGAAACCAAGUAGUUCAAGUUUUAUAACGCUCUAUCUUAUAAACACUCUUGAACCAAUAAUAAUGCUAUUACUGAAAUGCUACACACAAUUGAAGACUACUUGUUAGACCAAGACCUUAAAAACUUCUUUACUGAUUAUUCCCAAUGUGUGGCCCUGGUAAUCAUUGAAGAAUCAUUGUAUUGACUAUUAAACAUCUAGGGAUCACCUGUUUAAAUCAAGUUAACAAAACACUUACUUAACAAAUAUAUAUUGAUUGCCUAUUAUGAAGUAGAUGCUAUAGUAGGUGCUGGCAGUAUAAACAUGAAAAGAGACAUUGUGUGUGCAUAUUAAUAUACAGCAAAUUAAACUUCAGCCAGAGAAGUACUUUACUAGAAGGUUGAUAGAAGUGUGGUGGUAGCUUGCAGGAGGAAGCAGUUAGCCUCCUUGGAAAUGAGUAAUCUUCACAGAAAGUAUGACAUUUGACCUGCUUCUUGGAGAAGAUGCAUAUUAAACCUAUUAAAUCCAUGUCAGCCUUUAACACCUUUGCUCAGAUUAGUUUCUCGAGCUGUUUUCCCACCUGGUGAGCAGAUAAGAGCAGGACAGGAAAGUUCUGAUGAAAGGAAGAAGUGCCAGAGAGAGAAGGCCUUGCAAGCAAAGAAGCCUGACAGGCAGGAGCCCCUGAGUAUCCUAAGGAGAAGUACCAGCGAUUUAGGGAAGAAAAUUGCUGCCAGAAGUGCAGGAAAUAAAAAUUCUGACCUAGAUCAUUUUACUUAUGUCUUCCCUGGUUCUAUGAAUAUAUCUUGGGGGUCCUUUUAUAAUCACAUUUCAUUAACCAGGCAAGAUUAAUCAGUGACCAGAUAGGACAGUCACUGACUCUUAAGACUUUACAAUUUGAAACAGUGUGUACAAAUGUAUAGAGAGACAUGUAGACCAGCGGGUUUCCAACCUUUCUGGCACCAGGGACUCAUUUUUGGAAGACAGUUUUUCCAUGGGAUGGGUUGGGGGAGCAGGAGUUGGAUGUCAAGGGCGUUGGAUAUGUGGGGGGAUUGGUUUUGGGAUGAAACUGUUCCACCUCAGAUCAUCAGGCAUUAAUUAGAUUCUCAUAAGUAGUGUGCAACCUAGAUCCCUCGCAUGAGCAGUUUGCAAUAGGGUUCACACUCCUUUGAGAAUCAAAUGUGCAGCUGAUCUCAUGGGAGAUGGAGCUCAGGCAGGUGGUAAUGCUCACUCACCGCCACUCACUUCGUGCUGUGUGGCCUGGUUCCUAACAGGCCACAGACCGGUACCUGUCUGCAGCUGGGGGUUUGGGAACCCCUGAUUGUAUACCAGAAAAACAAGGACUGAUAGAGCUGCUAAUGCCAGUCUCAAAUGAGUGAAUGAGCAAAUACAGAAGUACAGUUUAAGUAUACAGAAGCUCUCUUCAUCCUUAUAGCUCUCUGACGUUUUGAUGAUUCUACUUUGUAUUUUUAAGUUCCAAUUUUAAAGAGGUGUGUAAUUGAGUGUUAGUUGUGUGAUUUGGAGCAAGUCUCUGAGAGAUCUCUUUUUAAAAAAAUAAUCCACAAGCUAGAAGAUUGGACUAAAUUACCACUAUGAUUCUUUUCAAAGCUAUCUUAAUUUACUACUAUUUGAAGUUACUUCAGCCAGUGCUAAUGAUACCGUAGUUGCAGAUUUGAACCACUGAGAUGCAAUUCACUUAUUUAAAAACUACUUGAUAAGAGUUUGUUGGGAGGAUUGCUAGAUAAAAUAUGGGACACUUAGUUAAAUUUGAAUUUUACAUAAAGAAUGAAGAUUUUUUAAUGUAAGUAUGUUUCAUAUAAUAUUUGAAUAUGUAAAAGUAUCCAAAUAUACUUAAAAAUUAUUUUUUCUCCAUUUGAAAUUAAAAUUUAACUAUGUGUUCUUUCAAAAUCUAGCAUUCUUACAUCUAUGUUAGCUUCAGUUAGAAGCUAGGCUCUGUGGAAGACAAAAUGGUGAAUCAGUCAUAGAUCCUUCACUCAGUCUAGAGGAGCAAAUGAGAGUCAAAUAUUAAUAAUGAUAUUACAAAGUAAAAAGUGAUGAGUUCAUGAGAAAUAUACUAAGAGAGUGCUAUAAAGGUUUGCAGGAGGGAGAAAUUACUUCCAGCCACAAAAGCAAGAGAAGAACUUGAGCUGGCCUGAGAAAGAUGGCAGGAUCAAGGCUUCUGAAUUUGGUGUGAGGAAGGGGUAAGGUCAUUUCCGGUAGAGUGAAUGGCUUGAGUAAAAGCAUGGAGAUGGGAAAGCACAGAGGAAGAGAGGACAGCUAGUCAUUUGGUUUGACUGUGGUUUGAUUGGGUAAAGGGAAAUUAAAGCAGAAAAUAUUAGAAAGGGAAGGCAGGACCAUACCAAGGGAGCCAGAGGUAGGAGGGAAGAAGGCUAGAAAUCUGAAUAAGCAAAAGAAUUUGAUUUGAUGCUUGAAGGUUUCUGAUCCAGGGUGACAAUGCAUACCAGUAGCGACAAGGGAGAGUGUAAAGAAUCAUCCCAAACAAAUCACUUCCAAGAAAAACUUGGGCUAUUAGUGUUGUUUUUAACACAUAGCUUAAGAAACAUAUUAGGUGAAAAGGAAAUAUAGGUAAGUGGGAAAAUCACAAGCUUAGGUAUGAAAAGAUUCUGGGUUCAAAUCCACAUUCUCCUUCUGUAUGAUCUUAAGUUAUUUCCUAUCUGAAACUCAGUUUCCUUGCAUAUACAAAAGACUACAAAUGCUCUCAUUAUGCUUGGAAGUUAUAAGUACCACUGUAUACCUGGCACAUUUUGGGAGCUCACUAAAGACUAAUUGCCACAUGAGUUAUUGUUUACUUACUACUUAUUCUUCUCUAGUCUUCAGAGUAUCUUAUUUUAUUGUAGCAGGUGAAGAUGCUCCCAAGAGAUUUAAAAAAAUGUUUUUCAAAAUAUUUUUCUUUAUAUGAAAAAAACUUUUUCUUAAAAUAAAAAACAGCAUAUCUAUCUGAACUAAAAAAAAAAAAACAGGAAAAAUUAAGAAGCCAAUAUUUGGAAAAUUUGGUCCAAAUACUCACUUUAAAUUGAUUUCUUCAAUACUAGAGAAAGUUAGAUUUUCUUCCUAAUUGAAAUAUCACAUGGUUAAACCAGGAACCCUGGGAAAAGCUGGGGUAUCUUUUGAUAAUUAUGAAGUGAAAGCAAGAAUUUCUAUUUAAUUAUUUACACCCUGACCAAAUAGUAUAGAAUUUAGCUCAGCAGGUGAACCAGGGAGUCUCACGGAUCCUGUGUACUUAAAGGAAUAACAAAGCACGGGGGCUUAUGGCCUGUGAAAGCCAGAGUGAAGGGGAGAAUUGAGCAGUAAUAGGCUCAUUUUUUUUCUUUAUAAAGACUCAUUCUGGGCCUGGCGUGGUGUCUCACGCCUUUAAUACCAGCACUUUUGGAGGCCAAGGCGGGAGGAUCGGUUGAGCUCAGGAAUUUGAGACCAGCCUGGACAACAUGGUAAAACCCUAUCACUGCAAAAAAUACAAAACUUAACUGGGUGUGGUGGCACACACCCGUAGUUCCAGAUACUCAGGAAGCUGAAGUGGGAUGACCACUUGAACCCAAGAGGCCUGGGCUGCAGUGAGCUAAGAUGGUGCCACUGCACUCCAGCCUCAGUGACUGAGUGAGACCCUGUCUCAAAAAAAAAAGACUCAUUCUGGAUAAUUGCCCGUUUCUGAUUUUUUUCCUCUAGAAUUCUGAUUUUUUCCUCUAUCUCAGUUUGUGUCUUUGUCCAUUAAAAUAGGCCACAAUGAUUGAUGAUAAAUUUGUUCUCUGAGAUAGCACCUAGAGGAACAGUUAUCCAAAGUGUCCUGUGCCCUGUCAAAGGCUGAAAUAACCACCAUUGCUGAAAUUAUGUGUUUAUAGAUAAUGCCUCCCUAUUUUGGCAUUUUUCUUUCAAAAAUGAAUUAUCACCAGUACCCGCCUUUAUUCAUAUAUUUUCUCCUCAACCUCAUUGCUGAGUAUCUAAAAUAGAUUUGCAGCUGAAGAACUACUCAUUCCCUUGUCUUCCCAUACCAGGCCUGUAGCCUGCUUUCAAACUUAUUCCUAUGCACAACACAACGUGAGCUGUAUCUUAGAUUUAUUCUCACUUUGUAUUCAGAGUCAAUACACUUGGUAAGUGCACAGCUGUGACACACUAGGAUUCCUACAGGCUUUACGCAAAUGUACGUGAUUUUAUCAGUCCCAGAAGACUAGCCCUUGAGAGAUUUGCUUGGGUAACAUUUUUGGCAGUGCUUCUUUCUUUGUUUUUAUUAAUGUUCUGGAUUCAUGUUUGUGAGACUCUCAAAUUUAUUUCAGAUUAGAUGAAGGUGACCUUCCCCUUCGCCAAGCAGAAUCUCCCAUGAGACUCAUGAAUCCUCUUGAGGCCAAUUACAGCUAUCACUUGUUAACUGUUGGAGUACUUUCAGUCUUAAAAGAGCUGCUAGAAAAUUAAGGCUGCAACAUGAAAGAAGAACAAAAUGGUCAGGCAUAUCACACGUUUUUAUCAAAUGAUUUGGUUUAGGACUUGAUAACCUGGUUAGUACUUGAGCACUGAAAGAUAUUUUGAAUUUAAAGUAAGAUGGAGAAAGUGAUGGAAGCUAAAUCACAGAGGAUAGAAAUACGAUCAAUCGUAUUCAGAACAGAAACAUCUUGGGCUCAAUGUCUGGGAACAAUGAGAAGAUUAGGCUGCUUUAGAACUUAGCUCUCAUUUGUUUUGGUAACCUCCACCUGCAAGAGGACACUCUUCCGUCCCAGUGAGACUGAGGUGAGAAUCACAAGACCACUGCCCUCUAUCUCAUCUUUUCUCCAAGCCUUAGACCAUCAUGGGAUUCACUAACAUCAUUCACACUUCAGGAGUGAUAUAUCAGAGUGAGCCCCUCUUUUCUGCUCAUCUUUCUGCCUCUCUAGAAAAGAGAUAAUUUCACUGUUUACCUCGGGAAACAUGAAAGUUAAUGAUAAAUGUAAAUGAUAGAUGAGGCAAGCAUUGAAAGCUAUAAAGUUGAAAGUAGGACCUAAUACCCUGUAGUAAUGUGUACUCCUUUUUAAAAGAAAACACACAAGUCAUUUAAGAAAGGUUAAUUUCUGCUACCUUUCCAAAAUAUUCUCAGAAUAAUUGGAGAGAAAAAUUGUGACAAAACACUGGGGGCACCAUUGGUGAAAGAAAACUGUAUAUUCUUGUCUUUCAGUCAGGAAAGAAUAAUAUCUACUUGAUCGAAAUGAUUUUUUUCCUCAGAAACUGUGGUACUGGCUACUAGAAAACAGAGAAUUUAAACUAUUAUUUCUCAGAAUGUUUUAUCUCCAUGACCCAAAGAUGGUUUCCCUCCAUGAGAAAAUAUCCCAGUGUUUGUUUUCGAGUUGUCAUCAACACAAAGCAGCAGCACGUUCACAUAUAAUGUGUUUCCAGCUUUUCAAAGCAUUUUCACUUGUUUCUCAAUUGUUUAUUACAAUAAUAACCCUGUGUUGACAUUAUUAUCUUCAUUUCACAAAUGAGGCAGCUCAGAUUCAGACAUUAAGGGACCUUCACAAUAUAUUUAGCUUACGGUGGCAGAACGAAGGCAAAACCAAAAGUCCUUGCCAAAGACUACCUCCAUUUGUCUUCAAUGGACUCCCUGAGUUUUUCAUUGUUGCUCUUUUGUGGUAUGGCUGAAGCCCUCAAAAUUUGGAAAAGACAAGCAAGUACAAGAUAGGCACUUAGAUUGUCAUUCCUCAACUGGCUUCUCUACAGCCUUUUCCUCCCAAUAUAUAAAAUACAGCAAUAAAGAACAGAAGACUAACAUUUUAAACACUGAACUGUUGCUCAAAUUUACUCCUCCUGUAUAAUAGUAUAAUUUGUUCUUAUAAGGUUGUAAAACUGCACUGCAUACUUAAAUUGCAUGUUUCACAUGUCUAUACUAUUCAGCUCCUUUUCUCAUCUCUGCAGUGCCUACCCCCAACAUACUACUGGCUUAACAAUUCCCAUGAAACAGUGUUUGAAUUUAAGAGGCAGGGCUGUGAGAAACACAAAUGGCCAUCCUCUCAUGUAUGUGCUUCUAUCACAGAAAUUUGAUUGUUCUCUAAAGGCAAGCAUGGAUUUUAUUUUAUUUCCAGCAUCUUCAAGGUAAUUAUCUACUUAACCUGCAUAGUAGCAGUUGUUGAGACUCAGUAAACCUCAAAAUGUAGCAUUUUGGUAUGCUAAUUAUUUCAAACUGAGGGCACUUGGGAAACAGCAAAUACAAGAAAGGGCUCUCUCUGAACUCCCUUAAGUGGCUGAAGAUAGAGCCUCCAAAAAGAAACACAAUUGUCAUAGGUAUCCUCCCUGGGAAUCUCAUCAGUGAAGGAAGAUUAACUCACAGGAGACACCACACUCCAGAAAGACUUUGUCACAAACUAUCCAUUACCUCUUCUUCUGAUGAGAUCCUUGGAGACAACUUUUAUUACCUGAGAGAUGUUAUCUGUAUAACAAGACAACCUUUGUUCUCCAUGCAUUCCCUCCUCUUACUCCCCUGCAACUUGUAUAGACACCACCCCCGAUAAACCACCAACCCCUACUCCUUUCUUUAGCUCAGGAUGCUAUAAAAACUUCUAUCAUCUGGCCCCUCUUCAAGUCCUCUACUUUGUGGGACUCCUGUGUGUAAUUAAAAUAGCUUUUCUCCUACUAAACUGUCUACUGUCAGUUUAUUUCAUAGAUUCAAUUAUUGAACCUUCAGAGGAUAGAAGAUUUUCUCUCCCCUAAACAAUUACAAGAGUAAUUUGGAAUUUUACUUGUUGUUUUAUAUGAUUAGUUAUCUUUAUUUGUAUACAUGCAUAUGUCUUCUCUAUCACUCCAAAUGAAGUGAUAUGCACAUAUAUAUAUAAAAUACAUAUUUCAUAUUUAUAUGUCCUGUUUUCCCUCCAUCCCUUGCAUUUUGCCUUGUGUAUUGUUAGUGUUCAAAUAAAUAUUUGUUAUAUCAAACAAGGAAAUUAAAGAAUGAAAAGUCCUACAAACCUAUCAAUAGUAAACAAUAGUGGCUGUACUUUUCUUUCAGAGAAACAAGUCAACAGUUUUCAAACAAAAGCAGUCUUGGAGAUAUUCCCUAAUGACUUGGCAGUCAACAAUUCCCAGCUCAAAAAAUUUAAAAAGAUAAAACAAUACAUUACCUUUAUUGUUACGAAUGUCUUCAAAAAUAAUUUGUUUAUUAUAAAUUUAGUUAUGAUUUAAUUGUUUUGUGAAACUAUUGGGAAUAUAUUUCAUUUUGUUUCUUGUUCUUGUAGAGAAGAAAAACUAAUUUUCUCUCUACUCUGUAGUUCUUAACUGAAAUUCCUUGUAACAAAAGACAGGUUAACAAGCAGAAGUUUAUUAAAAUGUAUACUUCAUGUUACAUGUUACAUGGGAGAAGAUACAGAGAAAUGAGUACAACUGUGGAGCAAAUCUCAAAGAAAGUUUAAACUUUAGGAUAAAUGCCAUUGUUUUUUGAAACAAGAAAGAAGGAUGUAGGGAAAGACCCAGCUAAGAGGAGAUGGCUAGGAAAAGUAUCUUAAACAAAGGUAAUGGGGAAUCCUAAUUAGGGAAAGGGAGUCAGGCUGGUGGGACCAAGAGAAAGCAAAAAUAAAAAGCAGAUAAGGUAUAAGUCUACCUUUCUUCAUGGUCCAGAAAACAUAGCUCUCCUACACAAAUAACUCACAAUCUUCGUGUGUCCAGCUAUCACUGGACUCUUUACUGAUCAAAAAAUGCAAGUUAGCUAACUGAAACCUUGACGCAUUAUCUGUAUUGCACAAAGCCCUCUUCAGCACACAGCACAAGCACCAUGCUAUAAAAUCACCAACAAAUCUUUGUCUCUUUGUAGUCAGCUCCUCUCUUGCUGAUUUGCCUGUGGCUUUCUUAGGAUGCAUUUUCCUACCUUCUCUAAUAAAUCUGCCUUUCUUUACCUCCAACUGUCUUGGUAAAUUAUUUUAACCACCCAUCUGACACCGGCCCCAGAUAGUCACCAUCUGCAACAGAUAAGGAUGAUUAUGCAAAUUUAAGUCAAUACCUUUUCCAUUUUGUUUAAGAGUCAUUAGUGAUUUAGUGUCCUUUUCUUCCUGAUGCAGGGAGAAAGACUCUUGCAAAUAAAGAUUCCUUUUACAGAUGUAAAUUUCUCUCUCUAAAAAAGUAACUUUUUAGGGCCAAUCCUGUGUCUGGUGUUUCUCAAAAUAACUCAUUCAAAAUAAUAUGUCAAAGAUUUAGGGUGGCAUAUUCUGUUCUUCUACAGUCAUAUUUUGGGGUAGUGUACCUUGAGCACUGCCAUAUUCCUGUUUAAAAUUUUCCCAAGAAGUUUCACAAUCCAGAAACUGUGUGGGUAGAUUAUCCCAUGACCUAGGGCUUUUUAAUGUAAACAAAAGGAAAAGGUUAAUAGUUAGAAUAAACUAUAACCUAGUUUUUUAGUUUGGAAUGCAGUCAAGAAGGUUUCUAAAUGUUUGCCUUAAAGCAUCUUUUGUAGUUUGAAUACCUCCAGUGAUGGCUGAGUGGCCCACAGCAACAAGCAUGAAGGUUGUCCAUACAUGAGCUGUUAUGAUUUAUCUGCAGUUUAUAUCAAGUAGUCCAGUUUUAGCUCACAGGGCUUUAGUAAAGGGGCAGUCUUUAUUUUUAGUGAUUCCAUGUCAGAAAGGUGGAAGAAAAUUUGAAAUGUUAGUUUUAAGAGGUUUGCAAAGUCUUAGCCAAAUAUUAGAAGAAUUCGGGGUCAGUUAAAGUUUACAGGUAGAUCGCAAAACCUCAAAGACAAUAAACAGGAGUAGAGUCUAAUAACAGGUGUACUAUAGUUUUCUAUUGGAACAUAAUUUUUCUCUCUACAGCCACCCCUACUUCUGCCAAAGAUAGUUGCAGUAAGAAUAGUUUACAAAAUAAGUCUACUGUCAUCAUGUCCUGAUUAUUUACAUAAGUGUAGCAAUAGUAGUGAUUAACCAUAAAGGCUCUUUUUAAGUUGGCUUCACUGGAACUGUAAUAAGAAAUAUCAGAUUGGACUUUUUAAAGCAUCAUAAGGCUAAGAUGCCAACCUAAGAACUUGUCAUCAGAUAUUGUAGCUUGAUAAAUUUUUUUUCCUCUCACUCCUUUGUCUGUACUCUGCCCAUUUCUGUGAAAACAGAGAGUUGAUUGAAAAAAAAAGAUUGAUACUUAGCAUAAUAACAGGCAGUCAGUAUUAGCAAGAGUAAGGGAUUUUGGUCUUAUAAAUACCAUGUUUUGAAGAAAUUAAGGCUUCAAAGCCUCACUUGAAGAUUCACAAUAUCAAUCUGAUGUCACCCAACAAACUGAAGCCAGGAUAUUUGCUUAAAACCUUGAUGCCUUUGAAGAUUCCACUUCAGGAUGGAUUCAAGUACUUGGCAUUGGGUGUGGGGUAAACAGAUGGUAGAAAAAGUAUAAAGAAUCUUGGAAAGAGAGAGGAAGACCGUAGGAAGAGAGAACAAUUUGCAUGUACUCAUCUGGGAACCAAUAUUGUGUAGUGGUUAAUGUCAGCUUCUCUGGAAUCAGAUGGCCAAGGUUAAAAUCAGCCACCUUGUUAAAUGAGGAAUAUAAUAGUCAUAGCAUCAAAUAAUUAUUUUAAGGGUAUAAACUUUCCCAAGAAGUUUCACAAUCGAGAAACUGAGUUAGUGGAUUAUCCCAUGACCUAGGCCAUUUUUAUGAAAACAAAAGGAAAAGGUUAAUAGUUAGAAUAAAUUAUAACCUAGUUUUUUAGUUUGGAGGGCAGCCAGUCAAGAAGGUUUCUAAAUGUUUGCCUUAAAGCAUCUUUUUCAGUUUGAAUACCUCCACUGCUAAUAAAGAUUUAUUUUAUUAGCAGUGUGAGAACAGACUAAUACAGUUAAUUGGUACUGGUAGACUGGGGUGCUCCUAUAAAGAUACCUGAGAAUGUGGAAGUGACUUUGGAACUAGGUAAAAUGCAGAGAUUGGAGGAGUUUGGAGGGCUCAGAAGAAAAUAGGACAAUGUGGCAAAGUUUGGAACUUCCUAAAGACUUGUUGAAUCACUUUGACCAAAAUGCUAAUAGUGAUGUGGACAGUAAAGUCCAGGCUGAGGUGGUCUCAGAUAAAGAUUAGGAACUUAUUGGGAGCUGGAGCAAAGGUGACUCUUGCUAUGCUUUAGCAAAGAGUCUGGCAGUGUUUUGCCCCUGCCCUAGAGAUCUGUGGAACUUUGAACUUGAAAGAGAUGAUUUAGGGUAUCUGGAGGAAGAAAUUUCUAAGCAGCAAAGCAUUCAAGAGGUGACCCGUUUUUUUCUGAAAGUGUGCAGUUACAUGUGCUCACAAAGAGAUGGUUUGAAAUUAGAACCUAUGUUUAAAAAGGAAAGAGAGAGCAUAAAGGUUUGGAAAAUUUGCAGCCUGACCAUGCAAUAGAAAAGAAAACCCCAUUUUCUGGGGAGAAAUUCAAGCCUAUUACAGAAAUUUGCAUAAGUAAUCAGGAGCCAAAUGUUAAUAGCCAAGACAAAUGGGAAAAUGUCUCCGGGGCAUGUCAGAGAUCUUCAUGGAAGCCCCUCCCAUCACAGACCCAGAAGUCUAAGAGAGAAAAAUGGUUUCAUGGGCCAGGCCCAGAGGCCUGCUGUUCUGUGCAGUCUCAGGACUUGGUGCCCUGCAUCCCGGCUGCUCCAGCUCCAGUCAUGACUAAAAUGGUCCAAGGUACAGCUUGGGCCAUGUUUCAGAUGGCGUAACGGCGUAAGCCCCAGACUUUGGCAGCUCCCAUGUGGUGUUGGGCCUGUGGGUACACAGAAGACAAGAGCUGAGCUUUGGGAGCCUCUGCCUAGAUUUCAAAGGAUGUAUGGAAACACCUGGAUAUCCUGACAGAAGUCUGCUGCAGGGGCAGCCCUCAUGGAGAACCUCUACUAGGGCAAUGCAGAAAGGAAAUGGGGGGUUGGAGUCCCCACACAGAGUCCCCACUGGGGCACUGCCUAGUGGAGCUGUGAAAAGAAGGCCACCAUCCUCCAGCCCCCAGAAUGGUAGAUCCACUGACAUCUUGCCCUGUACACCUGAAAAAGCCACAGGCACUCAAUGCCAGCCCAUGGAAAGCAGCUGUGGGGGCUAUACUCUGCAGAGCCACAGAGGCAGAGCUGCCCAAGGCCUUGGGAGGCCACUCCUUGUAUCACUGUGCCCUGGAUGUGAGACAUGGAGCCAAAGGAGAUUAUUUUGGAGCUUUAAGCUUUAAUGAGUGCCCUGCCAGGUUUCAGACUUAUAAACAAAGUGCCUGUGGCCCCUUUGUUUUGGCCAGUUUUACCUAUUUGGAACAGAAACAUUUACCCAAUGUCUGUACCUCCAUUGUAUCUUGGAAGUAGCUAAUUUGUUUUUGAUUUUACAGGCUCGUAGUUGGAAGGGACUUCCCUUAUCUCUGAUGAGACUUUGGACUUAGACUUUUGGGUUAAUGCUGGAAUGAGUUAAGACUUUGGCAGGCUGUUGGGAAGGCAUAAUUGUGUUUUGAAAUGUGAAAAGGACAUGAGAUUUGGGAGGGGCCAGGGGCAGAAUGAUAUGGUUUGUCUCUGUGUCCCCACCCAAAUCUCAUCUCAAAUUGUAAUUCAAAUUUUAACCCCUAAGUGUCAAGGAAGGGACCUGGUGGGAGGUUACUGGAUCAUGGGGACAGUUUCCCCUUUGCUGUUAUCAUGAUAGUGAGUUCUCACAAGAUCUGAUAGUUUAAAAGUGUGGCACUUCCUCCCCUCGCUCUUUCUCCUGCCACCAUGUCAGAUGUGCCUUGCUUCUCCUUCAUCUUCUGGAAUGAUUGUAAGUUUCCUGAGGACUUCCCAGUCAUGUGGAACUGUGAGUCAAUUAAGCCUCUUUUAUUUAUAAAUACCCAGUCUUAGGUAGUUCUUUAUAGCAGUGUGAAAAUGAACAAAUACACCUUGCUUACACCACAUACAAAACUCAACCUGAGAUGGAUUAAAGACUUAAAUGUAAAACUCCAAACUAUAAAAACCGUAGAAGACAACCCAGGCAAUACCAUUCAGGCAUAGACAGUGGCAAAGAUUUCUUGAUGAAGACACCAAAAGCAAUUACAACAAAGCAAAAAUUGACAAAUGGGAUCUAAUUAAACUAAAGAGCUUCUGCACAGCAAAGGAAACUAUCAACAGAGUAAACAGACAACCUACAGAAUAGGAGAAAAUUUUUGCAAUCUAUCCAUUCGACAAAGGUCUAAUAUCCAGCAUCCAUAAGGAACUUAAACAAAUUUACCAGAAAACCAAAAAACCCCAUUAAAAAGUGAGCAAAGGACAUGAACAAAAACAUCUCAAAAGAAGACAUACAUGCAGCCAACAAACACAUGAAGAAAAGCUCAAUACCACUGAUCAUUAGAGAAAUGCCAAUCAAAAGCACAUUGAGAUACCAUCUCACACCAGUCAGGAUGGCUAUUACUAAAAAGCCAAAAAACAGCAGAUGUUGGUGAGGUUGUGGAGAAAAACAAAUGCUUUUACAUUGUUCUUGGGAGUGUAAAUUAGUUCAACCAUGGUAGAAAACAGUGUGGUGACUUCUUAAAGACCUAGAGGCAUAAAUACCAUUUGACCCAGCAAUCCCAUUACUGGUAUAUACCCAAAGGAAUAUAAAUCAUUCUAUUAUAAAGAUGCAUGCAUGUGUGUGUUCAUUGCAUCACUAUUCACAAUAGCAAAAACAUGGAAUCAACCUAAAUGCCCAUCAAUGAUAGACUGGAUAAAGAAAAUGUGGUACAUAUACACCACGGAAUACUAUGCAGCCAUGAAAAGGAAUGAGAUCAUGUCUUUUGCAGGGACAUGGAUGGAGUUGGAGGCCAUUAUUCUUAGUAAACUAACGCAAGAACAGAAAACCAAAUACCACAUGUUCUCACUUACAAGUGGGAGCUAAAUGAUGAGAAUGCAUGGAUAUAUGUUGGAGAACAGUACACACUGGGGCCUGUCAGAGGGUGGGGGGUAGAAGAGAGAGAAGAUAAGGUAGAGUAGCUAAUGGAUGCUCGGCUUAAUACCUGGGUGAUGGGAUGAUCUGUGCAGCAAACCAUCAUGGCACAUGUUUACCUGUGUAACAAGGCUGCACAUCCUUCAUAUGUACCCCUGAACUUAAAAGUUGAAAAUUAAAAAAAAAAUCAUUUCUAUUUGGGCUUGAAAAGUAAUUAUAUUGGCACAUCUAUGCCUUUUAUCCCAACGAGUUCUUCCUGCCCACUGCACAAACAGAAUCAAUUGCCACAGAGAUCAUGUCAUUGCAGUGAAGAAAAAUUUAAUUAACACAAGUCUGGCCACACCGCUCAGGAAAUGGAGUUAUUACUCAAAUCAAUCUCCUCAAAGACUUGGAGAGUUUUUCAAAGACAGCUUGGUGAGCAAGUGGCUAGGCUAUGGGGAGUGCUGAUUGGUUGGGUCAGAGAUGAAAUCAUAGGGAGUCUAAGCUGGCCUCUUUCACUGAGCCACUUCUGGGUGGGGCCACAGGAGUGGUUGGUGCAUCCAGAUGGAACUAUCGGUUGUCAGACAUGCAAAAAAACUGAAAUGCUAUCUCAAAAGGCCAAUCUUAGAUUCUAUAAUAGUGAUGUUACCUGCUGAAGUAAUUGGGGAAGUUGCAUAUCUUGUGACCUCUAGAAUCAUGGCCGGCUGUCAUUUAUAUCUACACAUUAGCAGAAUUCUGGCUCCUCUCCCUUCCUAGCCUGGUAGUCUGUCAUUAACUUCACAAAGGUGGUUGAGUUUGGGGUAAGUACUAUUACCACUUAAACUAUAAACUAAAUGGCUCCCAAAGUUAGCUUGCCAUAAACCCAGGAAUACUUAAGGGCAGCUUGAAGGGUAAAGGCAUGAUGGGGUUGGCUAGAUAGAUACCCCCCUGCCCGCCGCCAUAAUUUUCUCACUGUUACAAUUUUUGCAAACGCAAAACUUCACAACACAUUAAAUAAAAUAAGGAAGCUUCAUUAGAGAUUUGACAUGAAGUAGCAGAGAGUUUUUAUGAUUCUACAGAGAACCUUUUUUUUUUUUUUAAUAAGUGGGCUUAUGUAUCUUUCUUAGAAUGGAUGCCCUGAAAUGAUGAAACUAUCUGCAGUACUGGGGAUUCACAUGAUAUAAACAAAAUCUUUUGAUUCAGUUAAUUAAACCAGUAAAGUCUAUGUAGUAGGAGAACAGUUUGACUAAACUGUUCUGUUAUUUUAAAUUAUUAAACUCCUGUAGUUGGCAUUUACAAAUAAUGUUGGCCUUUUUCUCUCUCAUGCUAAAUCCAAAGAAUUUACUUCAAAUAAUAUUUCUUAUUAUAACCACCAAGUUUAGGAUUGUGUUAUAAAUAAAAUACUUUAGACUGGUUGAUCUCAUAUAAUAUCAAAUGUAUCCUCUAUUUAGUGAAGAUAUGAAAGAGGAAUCAAGAGAAGCACGUUUUCUGAUAUUUGAAAUCUGAUCUUUUUUCUUCUAACUAUGGAAGCCCUAAAGUGUGAGAUCUUUGAAAUAUUCAUUUUUUUUUUUUUUUUUGGUAUGAGCUGCACAUGUCUUCUGGACAAGAUCCCUAAAUAUGGGCUGGUUGCCAUGAGAGAGAAAAUGUGAUAUUAAUGUGGGGUUUAUUAUAAGAGAAUAAAUAAACCCCUGCUGGCAACAAAUAAAGGCAUAAUUAGAUUACUCUAAAGAAACUUCUCUAUAAACACACUGAGAUGGCUUAGUAAACAAUGAAGAAAUGUUAUGCAAUAGUUUUGGCAAGAAUUAUACAGAAAGCAACAAUGGUCAGAUAUUGUUUGUAAGAUUAAAUAUUGAAGAGGCGUCAUUUGUGUGGGGUAAUACCCAAGGUUUGUUGCCUCACACCAAGGAAAUCGAGGACGUGGACACAAACAAGGAGUGACUUUAAGAGCAGAGGUUUAAUAGGCGAAAGAAAAGAGAAAAGCUCUCUCUCCUGCAGUGAGAGAAGUGCUCCCAGGUGUGUCUUCUGCUUUGUGGUGAAAUGCGUGGGGUUUUAUAGAGGAGCCUGAGGAGGUGGUGUCUGAUUUACACAGGGCAUGAGAGAUUGGUCAGUCCAGGUGUGCUGUUUGCAUAGCGUACAAAGAAGCUGGCUAUCCCACCCUAAUCUUUUAUUAUAAAGAUAGGGGUCUCAUGUUGCCUGCUUUUUUACUGUACAUGUGGCAACAAAGAAAAUGGAAGAGGGAACCUCCAUGUUGAAUAUUCCUGGCUUCCAAGUAUCCCUUUUCUAUUGGCAUAGCUGCCAGCAUUUACCUAUGCAGGCUUUUAGCUUGCUUACCUAUGCUUGCAGCUUGAUUUUUCAGGCUGCUUUUUGUUAGAAAAGAAAUUAUUUGGGGGCUGCUUUUUAUAAAAUGGAAGCCUUACCGAGGGCUCUCUUACCCUCACUAUCUGCCUAAAUAAUUUCUAGCUCCUGUAUCAAUAUGAGAUGGCGUAUAGUUGCACUGAGCUAGAAGAUAAUGAAAUUAUAUAAUCAGAAUUUUAUAUCAGGAAGGGACCUAAAAGAUAAAUUAACCCAAACAUAGCAUUUUAAACUAUAAAAUAUAAGAUUCAGAAAGAUUGACUUUUUCAAAGUCAGAUUAGUUUGGGUCAUAGUCAAUAUCACAAUUCAGUUUAAUGGAACAGAAAUAUAUUGAGCACUUACUAUGUGACAGGUUCUUAGAAAUUCAGGGAACAAAGAUAUUUAAAAAGGUGAAUCCUACCUUUGAUCUUACUGUCUCAUUAGACAGCCAUUCAUUUCAUGCGUUCUCUAGAUUUGAAAACUUAGUAUGGUAUUAUAGUACAAUGAUAGAGUAUACAAAGUAUCUGAUUUGCUAUUUCUGAAAAUCCUUUCUGGAGGAGGUGGCACAUGAGUUGGACACACCAAGAAAGGUAGGAAGGGCAUUUCAGAGAAAGAUAACUGCAGGAGCAAAGGUGUAGGGGUAUUGUGUAUAUAUGAACAAACAAGCAGAAAAGGGUGGAGGCAGGAAGUGGCAAGAGCUUUGCUAGGUAGGAACUAAGUCUUACAGGGCAACAUUGACAGGCACUUGGGUUUUAUUCUGUAGAAAAGUAAUAUAUGACAUUCAAAGGAUUUCAAAACUGAGAAUAUAAAUGUGAAUUUAUUUGAUAUUCUGGUUGCAAUAUGGAGAAAAGGUGACUGCUUAGGAAGUAACUAGGGUAGCCCAGGAAAGAGGUGAUGAGGCCAUGAUCUAGAACAGUGGUCAUACUGGAAUAUACCAACAUAUACCAAGAAGGGGAAGAUUCGAGAAAGAUGAGAAUUGUCAGAGGAGUCUAUUAUUACUUUUAGGUUUCUAAUUGAGUACAGAUGGUGUUGCCUAAGUAUUGGAGCAAAAUAGAUUGCAUUUGUAAUAAAACAAUAAAUUCCAUUUGAACACAGUGAGUUUGAGAUACCUGUGUGUCAUCCAAGUUGAUAUGUGCAGAAGGACAUGUGAGGCUAAAGUUCCUGAUAGAGUAAGACUAGGGUGAUAUAUAUGGGAGUCAGCAACUUAGUUGAAAUGAUGAGAGUGAAUGAGAUCACUAAAAGGUUAUAAUAAUGAAGACUAUUGACCCUGCUAAAAGCCUGUAAAACAUACACAAACACAUACUUAUUGAGAAAUGAUCAGAGAGGAAAAAAAGAAUCAAUAGAGCAUUUGUAUUUAUGCUGAAGGAGAGAAUUGAAUUUCAAGAAGUGAGUAGUUAACAUCAAAUGCUUCGGAGAGGUCCAAAAAGAUUUUGAAAAUCAUAGUUGGAUUUGAUCAUAGGGGCAUGUUUGGUAAUCUUGCAGAACCAUGUGCUGCACAACACGUUGCACAGUGGAACAACAGAUGACUGACAGUGACUCCCAAUCCAGAGCUCUUUCCAGUAUACCACAUUGUCAAAACUUUGUCUUAAACUCUUCCCUCUCUACUCUCUCCCAACUACCUGAAGUCCAUUGGCAGAUUAUUAUAUCUUUUUGUUUAAAUACAAUAGAGAAUUAUUGAAUGUAACUUCAGAGCUUUAUGUUCAGUACUUUUUUGGAUCUAAAUUUGUAGGUUCUACAGUAUCCAUUACCUGAAAAAAAAAAAAGUGAAAAGUACCAGGGUCAAGAAAGGCCUUGUAAAAACUGUUGUGUGCUUUUAAAUUUAUCUAAUUUCUAGAAAAAAAAUUAAUACGUUUUCUGGCUGUAUGUUUUACAAUAUGCUCAACUAUCGAGAUUAUUAGAAAUAUUAAAAAUCAGUUUUGGGACUUCCAAGUUACAAUGACAGACUAAAGGUCUCCCUUCAGGGAAUGCAGUGCAAAUUACAACUAAAUUGUAGCAUAACUGAAGAAAAGUCUGUAAGGAAACCUUAAAAUAUAAAGGCAAUCCACUCAAUGCUGGAACAUUAGGACAAAUUAAUGAGAAAGCUGUGGUGAAAUGUAAUAAAGUUCAUGCAAAGUGGCUGCCCAAAUAUGACACCACCAGUAGAAUUACCCAAAGAUGUAAAUAGGUUGAAUGAAUAUUCUGUUAAUUUAGGUAGUAUUGGAGGAGUCAUAUUAAAGAGAAACAUAAUGUCUUACCCAUCCAGAAAGCAUAUAGAAGAAAUUUGGCAGGUGGACCUUUGGCCCAAAAGGACUAAUAAGUUUAUCUCAGAAACUUCAUGCUUUUAGCCACCAGUUGUAACAUACAAUCCAAUGGCAUGGGCCAAACAAGUCCAUUCCACAGGCUGAGAGUGGAUAACCAUUAUUUUAGACAUCUGCCAGUGUAUAAAUUUACUUAGGAAAUGAAUGGCAUGGUCCUAAAAGCUCAUGGUGAUUCUUUAAUGAACCAGUGAGAGCCAGGAAUGUGAGUGUAUGAAGGAGCAUGAGUAGUAGGGGUGGGGGAAUAGGUGAAGGCCUGGGAGUAUCUCUACAAAGCCCAGUUUCCAGAUAAAGGCUAUAAGGAGAGUAAGGCUCAAAGGGGGAACUGUUCUGCUGUUUUCUUUGUCCUAGCAUUCUACAUAGAGAAACUGUCUAGUGUUAAGGCAAAGUAAAGGUAAGAAGGGAAACACAAACAAUUUUGCAGUUGUUGACCAAAAAUCAGAAAAUUUCUCCAUAGGAAAACUUUGGCAUACAUAGUUUCAGUAUGAACAAUAUUACUAAUUUUUUACUUAUUGCACAGGAAAUAAAUGAAAACUGAGAGAUAUGUUCCGAGAGCAGAGGAACAAUGAAGAUCUUGUGAAAAAGUGUUCUGAAAUAGUACCUACAUUUAAGCUUUUAUCUUUCUCAGAUUGACCCCACUUCACACACUUUGCUUUCACAAAAUAUAUUUCCUGUUCAAAGAUAAGCUAUAAACAGCACAGGGAAUAUGUAUAAUUACUCUGAAGAAAGGAAUGAAAGUAAAGGAUAGAAUAACAUUAUCCCCUCUCAAAGGAACAAAAACUUAAAAUUUUUUUUUCUAGAUGUUCCAAAGAAUUUGCAUAUGGUACUGCAAAUAUGAGCUAAAAAUAAGAAGUUAAAGACAAUGAGUAUUGAGCUGGCAGAGAUUACAGAAAAAAAUGGAAGAUAAAAAUAAAACAUUACCAAAAAGAAAGUCAGGGAAGAAGCAUCAGAAAGUAUCCAAAUUGUUUUUGAAAAUAUGAUCAUUGAUAAAAAGAGUAUGCUUGAUAAAAUACCAUAAAAUAAAACAAGAAACAAUAAAAGGAAAAUGAGAUUAGGGAGAUAAUCAUUUUAUAAAAUAGACGAAUGACAUCAAAUAUAAAUAAUAAGAAAAAGAUAAAAUAGGAAAAAAUAAUGAGAGACUUUACAUAUACAUGUAUACUGUAUAUUAUGUGCAUAAAUUAAUUUACAUAUGUAAUUACAUGAUCUAUUCAUAUAUGUGUAUGGUCUUCCUCAGUUUCUGUGGGAGAUUGGUUCCAGGACUCUCCCUACUCCCUACUCCCCGAGGAUACUAAAAUCUACUAAUGCUCAAGUCCCUUAUGUAAAAUGGCAGUAUUUACACAUAACCUAUGCACAUCUUCUUAUAUAUUUUAAAUCACCUCUAGAUUACUUAUAACACCUAAUACAAUGUAAAUGCUGUCUAAAUAAUUGUUGUACUGGUUUUUUAUUUGCAUUAUUUUGUCAUUGUUUUAUUGGGGGUUUUUUUUCCAAAUAUUUUUGAUUCAUGGUUGGUUGAAUCCCCAGACGCGGAACACAUGGAUAUGGAGGACUGACUGUAUAUAUAUAUAUAGUGGGGUGUGUCUGUGUGCAUGUGUGUGUGUGUGUGUGUGCAUAAAUUAAAUACUUGUAUGAGUCUGUUCUCACACUGCUAUAAAGACAUACCUGAGACUGGGUAAUAUUAUUAAGAAAAGAGAUAUAAUCGGCUCAUGGUUCUGUGGGCUGUACAGGAUUCUGCUUCUGGGGAGGCGCUGGGAAACUUACCCAUGGCAAAGGCAAAGGGGAAGUAGGCACGGUCUUCAUAUGGCCUGAGCAGGAGAGAGAGAGAGAGAGAGAAGGGGAAGGUGCUACAAACUUUCAAACAACCAGAUUCCUUGAGAACUCUAUCAAGAGAACAGCAAGGAUUAAGUUCGCUCCCCUGAUUCAAUCACCUCCCACCAGGCCCCUCCUCCAACACUGGGAAUUGACAUUCCACAUGAGAUCUGUGUGGGGACACAGAGCUGAACCAUGUUUUUAUAUAUUUUUAUAUAUAUAUUUGUUGUUGUUUGUUUUGUUUUGUUUUGUUUUUGUUUUUGUUUUGAGACAGAGCCUUGCUCUGUCACCCAGACUGGAGUGCAAUGGUGCAGUCUCCACCUCCAGGGUUCAAAUAAUGCCUCAGCCUCCCGAGUAGCUGGGAUUACAAGUGCCUGCCACCACGCCCAGCUAAUUUUUGUAAUUUUAGUAGAGACAGGGUUUCACCAUGUUGGCCAGGCUGGGUUCGAACUCCUGACCUCAAGUGAUCCACCUGUCUUGGCCUCCCAAAGUGCUGGGAUUACAGGCAUGAGCCACUGUGCCCAGCCCAUAUCAAUACUUUAAAGGGGAUUGUCCUUGGGAACUUGUCAAAGGAAAAGUUAAUACAGAAUAAUUUACUGAUAUGGUUUGGCAGUGACCCCAGCCAAAUCUCAUCUUGAAUUGUAAUUCUCAUAAUUCCCAUGUGUUGUGGGAGGGACUCAGUGGGAGAUGAUUGAAUUAUGAGGGCAGUUUACCCCAUACUGUUCUCAUGGUAGUGAGUAAGUCUCAUGAGAUCUGGUGGUUUUAUAAGGGGUUUCCCCUUUCACUUGGCUCUCAUUCUUUCUUACCUGCUACCAUGAUUGUGAGGCCUCCCCAGGCACGUGGAACUGUGAGUCCAUUAAACCUCUUUUUCUUUAUAAAUUACCCAGUCUUGGGUAUGUCUUUAUCAGCAGCAUAAAAACGGACUAAUACAUUUACCAUGGGACAUAUCCUAGUGAAAUAACUUGAACUUGAAAGAAAUAAUGAAACAGAGAGGGGAAGAGGGGGAGGGAGGGGAGGAGAGAGGGAGGGACAAAGAGAGGGAGCUGGAGAGGGUAAGAGGAAAGGAAAGAGGGAAGACAGAUCCUAUUGGAGAUACUUGAUGUCUUGCCCAUCCAGAAGACAUAGAUUACCUGCACAGCAGAAACAAAAGUUACCUACAAAGCAAAAAGCAUAGGGUUGGCCCCAGGAUUCUCUAAAGCUCUAUUCAUUAUGAGAACAUAGUAGCAGUCCAUAAAGGGUCUGAGAGAAAGAAACCAAGACUUAAGAAUUUUAUAUGCAUUCAUGAAUUUUAUAUGCUGGUAAUCUCAGUGGAAAAGAUAUGCUCAAAGUAAGAAAAAAAAGAUAUUUAAAUAGUGUCUGCACUGUGAAACUGAAACAACAAACAUUUAAAAUGCACAUCUAAAUAAGUGAGCAGUAUCUUAAGACUUAGAGUAGGUGACUCUGUAGCCAUGAGCAUGAAUAGAUAGCUAUGAAAAAGAAUCAAAUAGGGACUUUAUGAAUGAGGCCUAUAGUUGCUGAAUGAUAACAAGAGAUGGGCUAACAAAUCUAAUGGGCACAGUUGGUGAAUAAACCGGUAAGUGAAAUGUUGGGCCAAGGAUUUCACUUAUUAUGUAACAACAAAAGAGUUAUAGGUCAGAUUCUCUUAAAACAGGAAUUCAAGCUACUAUUUAAUCAUAAAGAAAAAGAUCCAAAAUACAUCGUGACAUUUUUUAAGCCCAUUGCGGAAUGCUGUGUUAAUUUUUUAUUGCUACAUAACAAGUGACCAUAAACAGCAACUUAAAUAACACGUUUAUGAUCUCAUAGUUUGUGUUGGUCAGGAGUCUGGAUAUGGCUUAGCUGAAUUUUCUGUUUAGGGUCUCAAAGACUGCGCUCAAGAUGUUGGCCAGGCUGCUUUCUCAUCUGAAAGCUUGCCUGGAAAAAGAAUACCUCCAAAUACACUCAUUAUUGACAGAGUUUCAUCUCCUUGCAGUUAUGGAAAAUAGGGCUUUGGCUUCUUAUUAGCUCUUAGCUGGAGGCUGCCCUCAGCUCCUAAAGGCUGUCUUCAGUUCCUUGCAAUGUUGAGCUUUCACAACAUGGCAGCUUAAUUCAUCAAGCCUCUAGAUGAAUUAGGAGAGUCUCUAGAGUGAGCCUGCUGGAAGAUCAAGUCUUAAAUAAUGUAAUUAUGAGAGUGACAUCCCAUCACCAUUGCCAUAUCUUAUUGUUUAGAAGCAAGUCACUGGAUUCUACAUACACUCACGGAGUGGAAAUUUCAUGGAGGUAUGAAAUCAGGAUACAGGAAUGAUAGGGGAGAUACCUUAGAGCCUGCACAUCACAGAAUCUGUACUAUUAUCAUAAUCAUAAGUAAAGAGAUAAUUAUUAUUCCAUUUUAGGUGACACAUAAUUGUACAUAGUCAUGGGCUGCAGAGUGAUAUUUUGAUACACGUUUACAAUGUGUAAUGAUCAAAUCAGGAUAAUUAGUAUAUUUAUCACCUUGAACAUUUAUCAUUUCUUUGUGUUGUGAACAUUCAAACAUUCAAAUCCUGUCUUCUAGGAUUUUGAACACAUACACUAAAGUAUAGUUAAUCAUAUUCUCCCUGCAGUGUUACAGAACACUAAAACUUAUUCCUCCCAUUUAGCUAUAACUUGUUAGCCAUUAACCAACCUCCCCCUUUCCUUUCUCCCCAUUUUCCUUCCCAGGAUCUAAUAACCACAUUUCUAUUCUCUAGUUCUAUGAGCUCAUUUUUUUAAUUGCCACAAAUGAGUGACAAUAUGUGGCAUUUGUCUUUCUGUGCCUGGCUUAUUUCACUUAACAUAAUGUACUCCAGUCUCAUCCAUGUUGCCAUGAAUGACAGGAGGUCAUUUUUUUAUGGCUGGAUAGUAUUCCAUUAUGUAUAUAUACCGCAUUUUCUUAUUCAAUUCAUCUGUAGAUGGUCAUUUAGGUUGGUUCCAUAUCUUGUCUAUUGUGAAUAGUGCUGCAAUAAACAUGGGGGUGCAGGUAUCUCUUUGAUAUACUAAUUUCCUUUCCUUUGGAUAUGUACCCAGUCAUCUAGUAGUAGGAUUCUUGGAAAAUAUAAUAUUUCAAUUUUUAUUUAUUUAUCUGUUUAUUUAGAGACAGGAGGGUCACAUUCUCUCCCCCAGGCUAGAGUGCAGUGGCACCAUCAUAACUCACUGCAGCUUUGAACUCCUGGGCUCAAGUGAUUUUCCCACCUCGGACUCCUAAGUAGCUGAGACUGCAGGCAAGUGCAAACAUGCCUGGCUAAUUUUUAAAAAAUGUUUUCAUAGAGACAGGAUCUCACUUAGCCUAUGCUUGUUUUGAACUUCUGGCUUCAAGCAAUCCUCCUGCCUCAGCCUCCCAAAGUGCUGGGAUUACAGUCAUGAACCACCACAUCUGGCAUAUUUUUGUUUUUUGAUGAUAGUUAUCCUAACUGGGGGGAGAUGAUAUCUCAUUGUGGUUUUAAUUUCCUGAUGAUUAGUAAUGUUGAACAUUUUAAAAUAUACUUGUUGAUCAUUUAUAUGUCUUCCUUUGAGAAAUGUUUAUUCAAAUCUUUUUCUAUUUUAAAAUCAGAUUUUUAUUUGUUUGUUUGCUGUUGAGUUGAGUUGUUCGUAUAUUCUGGAUAUUGAUAGUCGCUUGUCAAAUGAAUAGUUUGCAAAUAUUUUCUCCCAUUCUACAAGUUGUCUCUUCAUGCCAUAGAUGGCUUUCUUUGCUGUACAGAGCUUUUUAGUGUGAUAUAGUCCUAUAUGUCUAUUUUUGUUUGUGUGUGUGUGUGUGUGUGCGCGCGCGUGCACUUCUGAAGUCUCACCCAUAAUAUCUUUGCCUACAACAAUAUUCUAAAGCAUUUUCCUUUUGUUUUCUUCUAGUAGUUUUAUAGUUUCAGGUCUUUAAUUCUUUAAUUCACUCUGAGAGUUGAUUUUUGUAUAUGGUUAGAAAUAGGGGUCUAGUUUCAUUCUUAUGCGUGUGGAUAUCCAGCUUUCCCAGCAUGAUUUAUUGAAGACACUGUCCUUUUCCCAAUGUGUGUUAAUGAUACCUUUGUCCAAAAUAAGUUGACUGUACAAACAUGGAUUUAUUUGGGGGUUCUCCAUGCUGUUCGAUUAGUCAAUGUAUCUGUUUUUAUACUAAUGCCAUGAUCUUUUGGUUACUAUAGUUCUUGAUAUGGUUUGGUUGUGUGCCCCCUGCAAAUCUCAUGUUGAAACAUGAUCCCCAAUGUUGGAGGUGGGAUCUAGUGGGAGGUGUUGACUCAUGGGGAUGGAUCCCUCAUGAAUGGCUUAGUGCCAUCCCUUUUGUGAUGGGUGAGUUCUUGCAUUAGUUUACAUGAGAGCAGGUUGUUUAAAGGAGCCUGGCUGGCCCCCUCGUCCUCUUUUCUCUUGCUCCUGCUCUUGCUAUGUGAUAUGCAGCUCCUUGUUUGCCUUGUACCAUGCUUGUAAGCUUCCUGAGGCUCUCACCAGAAGCAGAUGCUAGCAUCAUGCUUCCUGUACAGCCUGCAGAACCAUGAGCCAAAAUAAACCUUUUUUUCUUUAUAAAUUACCCAAUGUAUUAGUCCAUUUUCAUGCUGCUGAUAAAGACAUACCUGAGACUGGGCAAUUUACAAAAGAAAGAGGUUUAUUGGACUUACAGUUCCAUAUGGCUGGGGAGGCCUCACAAUCAUGUUGGAAGGCAAGGAGGAGCAAGUCACAUCUUACAUGGAUGACAGACAGCAGGCAAAGAGAGGACUUGUGCAGAGAAACUCCCAUUUUUAAAACCAUCAGGUCUCAUGAGACCCAUUCACUAUUCCAAGGACAGCACAGGAAAGACCCACCCCCAUGAUUCAAUCAUUUCCUACCUGCUGCCUCCCACAACUCAUCGGAAUGAGAGCUACAGGAUUAGAUUUGGGUGGGGAUGCAGAACCAAACCAUAUUACCUAGUCUCAGGUAUUUCUUUAUACUAAUGCAAAUGUACUAACACAGUUUUGUAGUAUAUUUUAAAGUCAGAUAGUGUGAUCCUUCCAGUUUUGUUCUUUUUGUUCAAUAUUGCUUUGGCUAUUCAGGCUCUUUUUCAGUUCUAUACAAAUUUUAGGAUUUUUUUUAUUUUUGUGAAGAAUGCAUUGAAUGUGUAGAUUACUUUGGGUAGGAAUUGCAUUGAAUCUAUAGAUUGCUUUGCUAGUAUGAUCAUUUUAACAAUGUUGAUUCAUCUAGUCCAUGAUCAUGGGAAGUUUUUUUUACUUUUUUUGUGCUCUUAAUUUAUUUCCUCAGUGUUUCACAGUUUUCCUUCUAGAGAUCUUUCACUUCUUCAGUUAAAUCUAUUUCUUGGUAUUUUUUAAAGCUAUUACAAAUGAGAUUCCUUUUUUGAUUUCUAUAGCUAAUUUUUGAGAGUUUUUAACAUGAAAAGUUAUUGAAUUUUAUGAAAUUUUUUUUCAUAUCUAUUGAGAUGAUUAUAUUGGUUUUGGCCUUCAUCCUGUUGAUGUGAUUUAUCACAUUCAUUGAAUUGCAUAUGUUGAAACAUCCUUGCAUCCAUGGGAUAAAUUCCACUUGGCCCUGAUGUAUUAUCUUUUUGAUGUUAUUGAGUUUCAUUUGCUAGCAACUUGUUGAGGAUUUUUACAACUGUGUUCCUCAAGAAUAUUGGCUUGUAGGCUUGUUUUUUUUUAAUUUGUGCCUGUCUGGUUUUGGUAUUAGGAUAAUGCUGGCCUCCUAAAAUGAUUUAGGAAGUAUUCUCUCCUUUUCAAUUUUUGGGAAUAAUUUGAGAAGAAUUGGUAUUAGUUCUUCUUUAAACCUUUGGUAGAAUUCAUCAGUAAAGCCAUCCAGUCUUGGACUUUUGCAGGGAGAAGGGAAAUUUUUUAUUACUGAUUCAACUUUGUUAUUCAUUAUUGUUCUGUUCAGAAUUUCUAUUUCUACCUGGUUCAAUCUUGGUAGGUUAUAUGUAUCCAGGAAUUUAUUUAUUUUUUCUAGGUUUUCUUAUUUGUUGGUGUGGUUUUUCAUAAUACUCUCUAAUGAUCAUUUGUAUUUCUCUGGUAUCAAGUUGUAAUCCCUCCUUUUUCAUUUCUGAUUUUAUUUCUGUCUUCUCUUUUCUUUCUCAGUCAAGCUAAUGGUUUGUCAAUUUUCUUUAUCUUAUCAAAAAUCCAAUUUUUCAUUUUAUUUAUCUUUUGUUUUGUGUUUUAAAGUCCCUGUUUUGUUUAGCUCUGCUCUGAAUUUACUAUUUCUUUUCUUCUACAAAUUUUGGGGUUGGCUGCUUCUUGCUUUUCUGAUCCCUUGAGGUGCCUUGUUUAUUUGAAAUCUUUCAGUUUUUUUGAUGUAGUUGUUUAGUGCUAUAAACUUUCCUCUUAGGACUGCUUUUGCUAUGCCCCAUAGGUUUUUAUAUGUUGUGCUUUUAUUUUCAUUUGUUUCAAUACAUUUUUAAAAUUUUCUUUUUAAUCUCUUAAUUGACUCAAUUGUUGUUCAGAAGCAUAUUUUUUUCUGUUUCUAUUAUUUGUACAGUUUCCAGAGUUCCUCUUCUUAUUGAUUUCUAGUUUUAUUCCAUUGUGAUCCAAGAAGAUACUUGAUAUUAUUUCAUUUUCUUGUAUUUGUUAAUAUUUGUUUGGUGGCCUAACAUGGUCUAUCCUGUAUAAUGUUCCAUGUGCUGAUGAGAAGGAUGUGUAUUCUGCAGCUGUUGGAGGAAGAGUUCUGUAAAUGUCUACUAAAUUUAUUUGGUCUAUAGUAGACUUUAAGUCUAAUGUUUCUUUGUUGAUCUUCUGUCUAGAUUAUCUGUCAAAUGCUGAAAGUGGGCUGUUGAAGUCCCCAAUUAUUGUUGUAUUAGGGUCUAGCUCUGUCUUUAGCUCGAAUAAUAUUUGCUUUAUAUCUCUGGAUGCAUGUAUUUAAAAUGUUAUAGCGUCUUGCUGAUUUACCCCCUUUAUCAUUAUAUAGUGACCUUCUUUGUCCCUUUUAACCUGAAGUUUAUUUUAUCUGGUAUAAGUAUGGCCACUCCUGGGUGCUUUUGGUUUCCAUUUGCAUGACAUGUUUUUUUCUAUUCCUUCACUUUCAGUCUAUGUGUAUAUUUACAAGAGAAGUGAGUUUCUUGUAGGCAGCAUAUAUUUGAGUUUUGUGUUUUAAUUCACUCAGCCAGUCUAUUUCUUUUAAUUGGAGAAUUUAAACCACUUACAUUCCAGGUUGUUAUUGAUAGGUGAGGACUUACUCCUGUCACUUUGUUAACUUGUUUCUAAUUGUUUGAUAUAUUUCUUAUUCCUUUCUUACUCUAAUUUUUUGUCUUUGUGAUUUGGUAGUGAUAACAUUUGAUUUUUUACCCUUCUUUUCAUUUGUGUAUCUGCUCUACCAGUGAGUUAAUACUUCUGUGUUUUCAUGAUAAUAGAGAUCAUUCUUUUAUUUUCAGGUCCUGAAAAUGAUCUCCCUUAAGCAUUUUUAGUGGCCAGUCUAAUGAUGAAUGUUCUCAGUUUUUACUUGUCUGAGAAAAAUUUUAUUUCUCCAUUUCUGAAGGAUAGAUUUGUUGGGUAUAGUACUUUUUUCCAGCAGUUUUUUCUUUCAGCACUUUUCACAGCCUGUAAGGUGAGAAAUCUGUUAGUCUGAUGGAGAUCCCCUUAUAUGUAACUUAAUGCUUUUCUCUUGCUGUUUUUAGAAUUUUAUCUUUGUCUUUGACUUUUGACCAUAAUGUGCCUCAGACAGGACCUUUUUGGAUUUAAUCUAUUUGGGACUUUUUAAGCUUCCUGUAUCUGGAUGUCUAUAUUUUUUGCAAGACUCAGAAAGUUUUCUACUGUUAUUUUAUUAAAUAGGUUUUCUAUGUCCUUUUCCAUCUCUUCUUUUUCUGAAAUUUUAAACAUUUGCAUUUUUUUUGCAAAUGUUUAAAAUUUCAGAAUGUAGGCUUUCUCUAUUUUAUUUAUUUUUUCUUUUUGUCUGGGUUAUUUCAAAAGAUCUCUCUUCAACUUUAGGAAUUCUUUCUAUUGCUUGAUCUAGUCUAUUGUUGAAGCUAUCAAUUAUAUUUUUAAUUUCAUUCAUUGAAUUAUUCAGUUCCAGGAUUUCUGAUUGGUGUUUUAGUGAUAUCUAUCUUUUCAUUGAAUUUCUCAUUUGGAUCAUGAAUUGUUUCCUUGAUUUCUUUGAAUUAUCUAUUUGUGUUCCUCUCAUGUUGGACCCCCGUUGAUUCAAAGAGGGAUGGCACCAUGUCUCAGAGGCCAAAGAAGAGACCCAGAGACAAUGAAUGAGACACAGGACUUACUAGGUUGGACUUUAUUAAGGGUACAGUGGUUAUGGGCUGGACAGAAGAACCACUACCAUUUAUAAAAAUCACCCAGUUUAUAUAACAUUUUCAAUUAGCUUUCUUCACCUAGCAACACCCAUUUAACCCAAAACAAAAGGCCUUAAUCCCCUGUAUGUCCUACAUUUUAAAGGAUGAGCCAGGGGUUUAGUUGUCAUUAAUAGUGUGAACCAAAAAGUAUCUGAUACAAGUAUCAAUCAAUUUAGAAAGUUUAUUUUGGCAAGGUUAAGGAUGCACUUGUGACACAGCCUUCAGGAGGUCCUGACAUGUGCCCAAGAUGGGUGGGGCACUGCUUGCUUUUAUGCAUUUUAGAGAGACAUAAUGCAUCAAUCAAAACAUGUAAAAUGUACAUUGGUUUUCUCUGGAAAGGUGGGACAACUCAAAGCAGGAGGUUCCAGGUCAUAGGUAGAUUUAAAGAUUUUCUGAUUGGCAGUUGGUUGAAAGAGUUAAGUUAUUAUCUAAAGACCUGGAAUCAAUAGAAAGGAAUGUCUGUGUUAAGGUAAGGAGUUGUGGAGACCAAAAUUUAUCAUGCAGAUGAAGCCUCCUGGUAGCAGGCUUCAGAGACAAUAGAUUGUAAAUGUUUCUUAUCAGACUAAAGGUCUUUGUUGAUGUUAAUCCUGGUCAGCUUUUUCUGAAGUCCAAAAGGGAGGAGGAUAUAAUGAAGCAUGUCUGACUCCCAAUUCCUGUCAUGACCUGUACUAGUUUCUCAGGUUAAUUUUGGAAUGCCCUUGGCCGAGAGGAGGGGUAGGUUCAAAAGGCUGGAAUUUUAUUUUUGGUUUACAAUCUUCCCCUUCUGGCCAAGAUUUGUCAGAGUCAACAUUAAUGGCCACCAAAUUUUUAUUUUGUCUUGUAGCAUUGCCAGGGUGGCAUAGCUGCUGGCCUCAGAUUCAUCUUGUCCCUUGUUGGGAUGCUUACGGCCAAGAGACUUAGAGUCAGAAGACAGCCAAUUUAAAUGUUCUAGGUCAGACAGUAAUGGACAUGGACAGCCAUUCAUUAACCUUUAAAAAUGUUUAAGUAAUAUAAAAACCAACAAACAAAAGUCAAGGCAAAUCUACAAAAUUGACUUAUCUUUAACUUCUAUUUGUUGAUCUACUAUAAUCUUGGUUUUAGUUACAGACUUAUAGCAAUUAGAUAUACGAACGUAAGCAUCGUUAUGAAAAAAAUUUAAAUAUCUAUCUAUCUAAACAACUCAUAACUGAGAGUAUUGUACCCAGUAAAUGUUGUCAUGAGUAUCUUUAUCCUCUCAGUAAUUAUUUUUUUUAAUACUACAGGAAGCAGGAAAUUCUUUAUGGUUGGGAUGGAUUAAAAUGUGCCACAUAGCUGGGUGCGGUGGCUCAUGCCUGUAAUCCCAGCACUUUGGGAGGCCAAGGCAGGCAGAUCACCUGAGGUCGGGAGUUCGAGACCAGCCUGACCAACAUGGAGAAACCCCGUCUUUACUAAAAAUACAAAAUUAGCUGGGCAUAGUGGUGCAUGCCUGUAAUCCCAGCUACUCCAGAGGCUGAGGUAGGAGAAUUGCUUGAACCCGGAAGGUGAAGGUUGCAGUGAGCCAAGAUCGCGCCAUUGUACUCCAGCUUGGGCAACAAGAGUGAAACUCUGAAAAAAAAAAGAAUGUGCCACAGAAUAAUGCAGGAGGUAGACUCUUAUUUUACGAGCUAUUUAAGCAUCUGUGUACCCAUUCUUGAUUUGGAGGAUUUGGAGGCUCUGAGGGCCUGAUCUAAUUCUAUCCCUCAAAACCAGCCCUUACAAUUUCCACAUACAUGGUUUGAAAAUUUUACUUAUUUCUUUCCUUACUUCCUUUCUUCCUCCCUCCCUUACUUAUUAUAUAUCCUGAGCAUCUAUUUUCUUUAAAGUAAUCUUUAUUCAAAUUAGCCCUAUUUCUGCCAUGAUGUAGGGAGAUUAACAUAUCCUCUCCUGAAAAAGCAAUUAUAAAGCUGAAAAGAGAUGUAAAAAAAUAACCAUUUCAGUUCUCUGGAAAUAACCCAAGUUUCCAAUAAACUGAAUAACAUUUAGUCUUGACAUUUAUUCUUGAAAAUUACUAUAUCAGCUUUGUUGGCAUAGUAAUUCAACCAGAGUAGGACAGGCUGUGAAAAUCAACAACUUAGCUGCCACUGCUAGAAGGUGUCCCCCUUAAUCUGGACUUUAGUCAUUUAAAGUGUUGAUCUCAUAUGCUUAAGAGUGAACAGGAUGAGUCAGCAUCUUCACUAGGCUGAUGUUACAGCCCUGUUUGGGGACCAUGCAAUGGACUAGCAGAUUUGCCAGACAUUUAACAGUGAAAUCUUGGACAUGAGCUAAACCUGGGGGCACUAAGAAGAUUUAUUGAAUGUCCUAGGUUGAUCAGAGACCAUGGGUAGCAGGGACUGGAAUGGGCUCAAGCCUACCAUACAUCCGUAGAAUACAGAGCCAUGCACAAAGACAGAGGAGAUGUGUGAAAAGUUAGGGGUUAAUAAAAACCAGAGAAGACUUGAGAACAGCCUAAACUUUUUUGUUUUUGUAUUUGAGACAGGUUUUUGCUCUGUCUCACAGUCUGGAGUGCACUGGCAUGAUCACAGCUCACUGCAGCCUCAACCUCCCAGGCUCAAGGGAUCUUCCCAACUCAGCCUCCUGAGUAGCUAGGACUGCAGGUGUGCACUACCAUGCCCCGCUAACUCUUCAUUUUUUGUAGAGAUGGAGUUUCCCUAUGUUGCCCAGGCUGGUCUUGAACUCGUUGGCUCAAGCGAUCCUUCCACCUUGGCCUCCAAAAGUGUUGGGAUUACAAGUGUGACCCACCUUGUAAGUGAUACCAGGCCACCUUGAACUUUGAAUGCAUCUCUAGCUCUGAGGUGUUUUUUAACACUAACCAAUUCAAUUAUCUUAUUCUCACAACAACUUGAUGUCCAACAAUUCAAUUCAAUUUGGACACUAUCUACCUGGAGCUAGCUUCAGUUCCCUCACUUAAAGGGCUCAGUCCCACAGAGUGCCCCCAACUCAAAUGCCAGUUGCAAGUUUCAGGCCAGGUAUCCUGACAAACAAGUUAUAAAUUGAGAGUUCCCACAUCCAUCCCCAGGUUCAAUAAUUUGCUAGAACAGCUCACAGAGCUCAGGAAAACACUCUACUUAUAUUUGCCUGCCAGUUUAUUGUAAAUGAUACAAAUGGAUAAGCAGAUGAAAAGGUACAUAGGACAAGGUCUGAAAGGGAUCCUAGCACAGGAGCUUCUUUUCCCUAAACUUGGGGUCUGCUACCCUUUUGGCGUAUGAAUGCAUUCACCAACGUAGAAGCUCUCUGUAUCUUAUUGCUCAAGAGUUUUAUAGAUUCAAUCUCCAGCUCCCUUCUCUUUUCCCAGGAGGUCAGUGGGUGGGGCUGAAAGUUCCAACCCUCUAAUUUCUUGUCUCUCUGGUAAUCAGCCCUAUUCUGAGGCUAUCUGGUAGUCCCACUCUGUCACCUGAUUAGCAUACACUCAGGUGUCAUUAUCAAAAUGGGCUCAUUAUGAUUACAAAGGCACUCCUAUCACUCAGGAAAUUUUAAGGGUUUAGGAGCUCUAUGUCAGGAACCAGGGGCCAAGACCAAAUGUAUUUUUAUUUCCAUGCCAAUUCACACACAAAUCCAUCAGCAAAGACUAGACACCUUACUGGCUGUGACCAAUCUUUGGCUAAACAUUAAGCUAUGCAGGCACAAUGGUGACCUUAGUAAGCCAGGCUUAACUAUAAAAACAAGAAAAAACCCAAAGACAUUAUCAACCAUACAUUCCAGAGAAUCAGAUUUCCCAAAUUUAGUCCAGGCAAGUUACUAAACAAGCAAAACAUUAACUACAAAUCUCAGAGGAGAAAAUAAAGAUCCCAAGAUACUGAUAUACAAUAUAUUAUCUGAAAUGUCUUAUAUUCAAUAAACAAGACAGAUAGAAAGAAACAAGAAAGUGUGAUACAUACUCUGGGAAAAAUAACAGUUCAUAUAAACUGUCUCUGAGUGGUCCUAUAUGUUAGAUUUAGAAGAAAAAGUCUUCAAAGAAACUAUUCACAGAACUAAUGAAAAUGAUGUUUAAAUAAUUAAAGGAAAGUAUGAUAGCAAUGACCCCAAUGAUCGAAUGAAUAGAAAAUUUCAGCAGAGAUAAAAAUCAUAUAAAAGAACCAACUGGAAGUUCUGAAGUUAAAAUAUACUAGAAUAUUUCAUAAAAAUAAAAGAUCAAAUAAUCAGGAAGAUAUAAUAAUUUUAAGUGUAUUUCACCUAAAAACAGUGUCCCAGAAUAUGUGAAGCAAAAAAACUAAGAAUUGAAAGUAUAGACAACAAUAAUAGCUGGAGAUUUCAAUACCCACUCUUAAUAAUUGAUAGAAUGCCUAGACCGUAAAUUGGCUAGGGUAAAGAAAAUUUGAGCAAUGCUAUCAACCAACUUAAUAUAACUGACAUUUAUAGAACGCUCCACCCAAAGAGUUCAGAAUACACAUUCUUUUCAAGUUUAUUUGGAAAAUUCUGCAGAUAGAUGAUGUACUGGGCCACUAAAUACGUCUCAAUGCAUUUUUUUUGAAGAAAAUUAAUCAUAUGAAGUAUGUUCUCUGACCACAACAAAAUUAAAUUGGAGAUCAUAAUAGAAACAAAUCUGGGAAAAUGUCAAGUAUAUGGAAAUCAAAUGACAUACUUAUGAAAAAAACCCCUCAUGAUUCAAAAAAGAAAUCACAAUGGAAUAUUUUAAAAUAUUGUGAAUGAAUGGAAACAAAACCACGAGUGUGAGCCACUGUGCCUGACCUGUCAAUUUUUAUAAAGAAAAAUAAUUGGUGAUUUAUACUACCAAAUUCCAAAACUUAUCAUAAAGCUGUAGUAAUAAAAAUAGUGUGGUACUAGCAUAAAGAUAGGUAUAUAGAUCAAUGAAAAAGAGUUGAGAUCAGUGGAACAGAAGUGAGAGCCCAGAAAUAAACCCAUAUAUCUAUGGUUAGUUAAUUUUCAGCAACAGUGCCAAGACAAUUCAAAGGGGAAAGGAUAACUUCUUUUUUAACAAAUGAUGAAGGAAUAAUUAAAUAUAAACCACAACAAAAAAAACUUAGGCCCCUACCUUAUGUUCUAUUCAAAAAUUAACUAAAAUGAGUCAUAGAGCUAAAUAUAAAAGUUAAAUCUAUAAAAUUCAAGAGUAAAUCAUAGGAGGACAUCUUUGUGACUUUGGGUUAGCCAAAAAGUUCGUACAUAAGAUGACCAAAGCAGAAGCCAUACAAGAAAAAAAUUAGUGAAUUUUAUUUCAUUAAAAUUGAGAACUUUUGUGCCUCAAAGGAUACCAUGAAGAAAAGGAAAAGAUAAACUUCACACUAGCAGAAGAUAUUUGCAAAGUACAAAACUGAAAAGGACUUGUAUCCAGCAUACAUAUCUUUAUAACUCAAUAUAAAGAAGGUAAACAAUCUAAAACAUAGGCAAAAGGUAGGCAUAGACAUUUUACCAAAAAAGAUAUAUGAAAGAAAAUGUAAUCCUCAUUAUUAGUCAUUAGGGAAAAUAAAAUUAAAACCACACCAAGAUACCACCAUACACCCACAAGAAUGUCUAUAAUAAUAAACACAGACACCUCAGCCUGGGUGACAGAGUGAGACUUCACCUAAGAAAAAAAGAAAAAGAGAGAGAGAGGGAGACAGAGAGAGAGGAAGGAAGGAACAAAGGGAAGGAAGGGAAGGAAGGUAGGAAAAUAAAAAAAUAAAUAAGACAAUACAAAGCAUUGUUGAGGAAAUGGAGCAGAUGGAACUCUCAUUCAUUGCUGAUGAAAAUAUAAAAUGCUGCAGUCACUUUGGAAAACAGUUGGGCAGUGUCUUAAAAACAUUAAACAUAAAUUUACCAUAUGACCCAGCAAUUCUACUCCCAGGAAUCUAAGCAAGAGAAACGAAAACAUAUGCCCACAAAGGGACUUAAAUGCAAAUGUUCAUAGCAGCAGUAUUCAUAAUAGGCUAAAACUAGAAACAAUCCAAAUGUCCAUCAACUGGUGAGUGAUUAACAUGUGGUGUGUCCAAACAACAAAAUACUACUCAGGAAUGAAAAGUAAAAGAGUGACACAUGCUACAACAUUGAUGUCAAUUGGGGCUGAUUUAAUAAGAUACCAUAGGCUGGGUGGCCUAAACCACAGAAAUUUAUUUCUCAUGGUUCUGUAGGCUGCAGAGUUCAAGAUCAGGAUGCCAGCAGAUUCUCUAUCUGGUGAGGGCCUUCUUACUGGUUUGCAGAUGGCCAUCAACUAGUAUCCUUACAUGGCAGAGACAGCGAGCCCGAGUCUCUUUCUCUUUUUCGUUAUUAAGAACACUGAUUCCAUCAUGGGGGCUCUACCUUCAUGACAUCAUCUAAAUCUAAGUAGCUGCCAAAGGCCCCACCUUUUAGUACCAUUCCAUUGGGGGUUAGUUUGCAGGAAACACAAACAUGCAGUCCAAAACAAUUAAUUACCCUUAAAAAUAUUAUGUCAAGGGUGCCAGAUACAAAAGACUAUGUAUUCUAUGGUUCCAUUUUUAUAAAAUGGCCAGUAAAGGCAAAUUUAUAGAGGCAGAAAGAAGUGCUUGAUUGGAGACAGAGGGUAUGGUGCACUGCAAAUGGGCUUUAGGAAAAUUUGGAGGCAAUAACAAAUGUCCUAAAACUGGAUGGUAAUGAUAAUGCAAAACUAUAACUCUACUAAAAAUCAUUGCAUUGUAUACUUACAGUGGAUAAAAUAUUUAAAUUAUACCUCAACAAAGCUGUAUCUAUUUUAAAAAGCUUUAAAAAACCCCAAGGAAUGGGAAAGACCAAGGCCUCUGGUCAGGUCUGGCUCUGCAUAUUUAGACUGAGCUGUAGAGUGAUUAUUUUUCUUCCUCAUUGUCUGACUUGAUUAAUUCUACUUUCAGAAGGAAAAGUUCAUGGGAAAUUUAGAUGCCUAACUCCCUAGAGGAUUUUGAAUUUUCUGUUAUCGUUGGAGGAGAAACAUCCAAAUAACAGAUGUAUGAAUUUCAUUAAUAAUGAAAACUUUAGAAUUAAAAAAAUACUUUUGUAGGAUGGAUUGUCAGUAGUUUUAUUUAUUUUCUCAGUAAUCUGUCUUCUCAACAGGUAAAUUCAUUUUCUGGCUUCCACAAAUUGAAUUAACUACAGAGUUAUAAGGUCCGUGUGUACUCUUUUUUAUUUUUAUUUUUUCCUUUUUAAAGAGAGGGUCUCUCUCUUGCCCAGGCUGGAGUGCAGUGGUGCAAUUGUGGCUCAUUGCAGCCUUGACCUUCUGGGUUCAAGCAAUACUCCCACCUCAGCCUCCCAAGUAACUGGGAUUAUAGAUGUGCACCAACAGGCCUGGCUUUUUUUUUUUUUUUUUUUUUCUCAAUAGAGAUGAGUUCUGCCUAUGUUGCUCAGGUUAGUCUCUAACUCUUGGGCUCAAGCGAGCCUCCUGCUUCAGUCUCCCAAAGUGCUGGGAUUACAGGUGUGAGCCACCAUGCCCAGCCCUUUAUGAACUCUUCAGGCAAAGAAAAAGAACUGUGUCAAGAAUUCAAACAUCUCUGAGCGAUUAGAGGAAGUGACCCCAAGUGCAUAUAUGCCGACUCUAUAUUCAUGAAGUUGUAAAUAGUUAUAUACUACUUAUGUAAGGAGGUCAAGGCUGCAGUGAGCUGUGAUCAUGCCACUGCACUUUAGCCUGAGUGACAGUGAGACUUAGUCUUAAGAAAAAAAAUGAGUUAACAGGAGCUGUGAAUUCUUUAGAGUUUAAUAAUAGAGAUCUUCUAUUUAAUUGCUAUGUUUAAGUUUAUGUCUGCCUUUCCAGUUAGAUUUGACAGAUUCUGUAUAAUGUCAAAAUAAAUGGUUCAUUCAUUCAAUUUAUUGAGGGAAAGAGAUCAUUCUAGAAAAGACAGUCAAUUCAAUUUUAUAUGCAUGCAGAUUAGUGAUUAUUCUUUUGUCUUCCAAAUAAUAGUUUAAAAACAAAACCAAAUGAGGUGAAUAGUAGAUCAGAAGUCGGAAAACUGAAGCUUGUUUUGUUAGUAAUAACUGUGAUUUUUAAAUUCUAGGCAUUUAAAAUCUUUAAUUCCCUGUUUCUCUUCAUAUAUUAAAUGGAUUUAGUAAUAACAUAAUAGUUGCAUGGUCCUACUUUGAUGAUAAGAUAAGAAAAUUAAUAUGUAGCCAAUCUCAAAUAACAUGUCUCCAGGCCCCAUAACCAACCCUAGAGUGCAUAAAAAUGAACAUAGAACUUUCUUUGAUUGUCCCAACCAGAAUUUUUUUCCCCACUGAAUCCUGUAGUGUCUUUUCUCUUAAACCCCUCUGGCCCUGCUAUGUUGGAGAGAUGCAUAUGUGUUAUCUAAGCUGAAAGCCCCCAUAGAAAGUAACUGGAUCCAUUGACCUUCUGUUUGCAGCUAUGCUUAGCACCAUGCCUUACACAGACACCCAUUAGCUAAGAAAUAAAUACAGAUGGGCAAACUGAGGUGCCCUUCUCUAGUUCCAGCCCAAUUUUUUAUUAACCCCUUUUCAUAUAUGUGUACACUUGUAAAUAUUUCCUAGAUUUCUUUAGAUAGCCCCACAAACAGUUGUAAUAUACUAUAUUUGCAUAGAACUUAAAAAAUUAUUUUCUAAGAGCAAUUUAUCUUUGUAAGCAAAUUUGGUUCUCUCCAGAGAUGCAAUCCCUGGUCUUUAUUCCUUUCAGGACUGCAGGAGAUGAUGCUACAUGGGAGUAGUCGACAGCAUAGAGGUCUAGCGAUCUGGAGUCUCUGGUCCUACCCAUUUAACUUUUACAACUAACCCAUUUGACCUUAUUCAAAAUGUACCUCAGAUUAUGGUAAGACAGCAGACAUGGAAAUGAUUGUCAUGAGAAAGAAGUAUACUAACAAAUUCCUAAAAAUAAGAGAUACACCAUGCCAUGCAGGGCCACAGGAAAGAACACCUAGACCAGUCAGAAGGCAGAAGGAAGAGAGGGGAGAGCAUUGCCCAGAGCCUUUACUGGUGUUUUCUCAGGAAUGAAUGGGCAAGGAAACACUUUAAGAUUGGAUAGUUUGAGUAAUUUUGGUAAGUUGUGGGCUGUAGUAGUGGUGCCUAGCUGUCAGGUAGGUGGUCCUGAGGUGAUUUAGGACAGGGGGAAUAUUGGUUUGGCAUGUGAGAGUUUGAUAAAACAUAGAGUUGGGGAUGUGGGUUCUGGAUUGGUAGGUUUAAAUAUCCAAGGCACAUAUGCUGGGGAGUUUGCUUUCUCUAGGAAUUAGCUAGCCCUCGGUGGAACAGUCUCUCCAGGAUCAAGGCCUUAAAUGCAAGAGCAUCAAGAAUACAGAAAAUAAGACAUAGUCAACAGAGAUUUUAGUCAAGUCACUUUAACUCUCACACCUGUUUUCUAGUCUGCAAAAUGAAAAUAUUGAAUGAAGUCACCUCUAAUGUAUGUCUCUGGCUAUAGGGAAGAAUCCCAUGGCUCUGGGUUCUGUGCUUCAUGCUUCUUCUUAUGCCAGUGAGUAAUUGCUACAGUAAAAACACUGCUCUGUCCCAAUAAGGAGGGUAUUGUUUGUGUCUGGAACAACUGUGUAUUUUAAAAAGGAGAUGGGCUAAUAACCCUACCAGCAAAAUGUUUAGUGUCUCAUUUACACAUUUUUUUCCUUAUUAGGAGCUGACCAGAUAAAAUGUUUGAGUUAUCUAGUAAAGCCACAGAAACCUUAGGAGGUGGGGAAAAUGUCAGCCAAAUCUCAUUCAUAUUUGCUAAAAGAAUGCAAACCAGUUGGGUCAGAUAAGGUAUAGUUAUUUAUAAAUCACCUGGGAGCAAGCUAUUAUUUUAAUUGGAGAAAAUUUAUUAUUCAGCUCCUUGAAUAAUUUGCCAAAUAUGGUUACAAGCACAUCUGUGAAUGAAUGAAAUUUAUGAAGGGUAGGCAUCACUUAGGUAACUUAAGAAGUAUUCUUUUCAGACUACCAUCCACAACACAGAAAAAAAAAGUUCAGAAAAUGUCAUUUUCACUUCUGAUUUCUAUUUAUGACCUAUGCCUUUGAAUUUGUAUUCCCACUCUCUAACCCUUAUAAAACUCAAAUGAUCUCCCAAUGACACUAACCUGGCUGUAUAUAUUGCAACUUUGGAGCAGACUCACAAUAGGAGUGCCAUGUGUGGUAUAUAGAUUGUGAGCUGCUCAACUGUAGGGGGCACAAUUUAUAAUCAGACUCAAUCCUGGGCAUCCAGAUGCUUUCAAUUUGGAUGACAUAUAGACAUGAGGGGAAAGGCAUGAGAGGGUUGCAUAGGAUGGAAAAAUAACUUAUGAGUUAAAAUUACCAAAGAAGCUCAAUGUUCAAAUCACAACCCUCACAUGUCUUUAUCUGCUUGUGCUGCCAUAACAAAACACUAUAGACUGAGUGGCUUAACCAACAUACAUUUACUUCUUACAUUUCUGGAGUCUGGGAAGUGCAAGUUCAAGGUGCCUGGUGAGGACUCUCUUCUUGGCUUUCAUAUGGCUGUUUUCUGUUUUCUCACAUGGACAGGAAAAAAGAGAGAGAGGGUGAAAGCAUGUACACCCUCAAGUUCUCUGGCAUCUCCAUUUAGAAGAACACUAAUCCCACUGUGAGGGCCCUAUCCCCAUGACUUUAUCUAAUCCCAAUACCUUCCAAAGACCCUGCCUCCAAACACUGUUACAUUGAGGGUUAGGGCUUCAACAUAUGAAUUUGGGUGGGACACAAACAUUCACUCCAUAACACCAUAUACAUGGCACUUCCUAGAAUUAUGGAGUGCACAAUUUUUACAACUGUUCUUUCCCUCUUUCUCUCUGGAGCACCUUCAACCCUAUUUUUUAUAAUAUGAUAUUAUUUCACUCACCUUUCAAGGCCCACUUUUCAAGUUUCCAACUCCUUUACCAUUUCUUUAAAAAUGCUUAUUGAGAACUAGGUAUUUUCCAGGCACUAUAGUGGGUAUUGAGCAUAUAAGAUAUGCCUCUGCUUUCUCUUUCCAUGCAAUCAAGAGGGGGAGAUAAAUGCUAAAUGCAGUGAAGUAUCAAAGAUGUAGUGAAAUAAGUCCAGACAAGGAAAACUAUUAGUACAAAAAAUAAAAUGACUCAUUCUACCUGAGGAAGCUGAGAGAGGCUGUGUGGUAGAUGGAGUGACAUACGAAUUCACAGAGAAAAGUGAAUUUUGAGCUGAAUCUUGAAGAAUGAAUAAGCAUUAAAUAGGCAGAGUUGAGGGGUAUGGGCAUUAAAACAUUGAGGCAAAGCAUGGAGAUAGAUUAUAAAAGCCCUUUAUGACCUAAAGGGUUAGAACUUUAUCUAUAAAAUGUAGGGAGCUAUUGAAGAAAAACAUGGUGUUUUAGAAACAUCAUUCUUAUAGUGAUUUGAGAGAUGCAAAUCCAGAGUAAUACAGACAAAUUAGGUGACAAUUGCAAGAAUCAAAAAAGAGAUGAUGAGGCCCGAACUAAGUAGGUAGUAGUGGAAUGAAUGUGGGAGUGAAUAUGAGACAUAUUAAACAGAGAACAUAUAUAGGAUUUGAUGAAUGAGUGAAUGUGAGAGGGGAUAAGUGGUAGGGAGGAGAUUAGAGUGACCCUUACUUUUCUAACUUAGAUGCCGGGGUCUGGGUCUUGCCAUAAAUUGGGGUUGUAAUAAAAACAGGAGCAGAUCCCUCUGAGGUUGAUGGGGUGGCAGUGCUGUAGGAGAUUAGUUCAACACUGAACUGUUGCUGGCCUGGAUGUUGAGACUGUUGCAGCCUCCACCUGGAGUCCAGUAGGCAGUUGGGCUGAUAACUCUAGGGCACAGGGACAAGUAUAGGCUGAAAGUGUAAUCUGCACAGGUAUAUUUAUUUGGGGGUUGAUUGAAGGCCAAGAAAACAUAAAGAAUAAAAAUAAGUGAGUGCCAGGGAUGGAGAACCUUGGAAUGGCUAACUUUUAACAAGUAGGCAAGAAGAUGAGAAGCCAGAAAAGGAAGUGGUUAUUGAGGUAGGGAAAAAUCAACCAUAACAGGAACAAAAAGAUGAUUAUGUGGAAAAGUUUUAGAGAAAGAGUGAGGAUAAGUGAACUGAAACCUGAAAAGAUCCUUUCAAUUUGAAAUGAGUCACAGUUUCCAAAGGAUAAUGGGAACAGAACCCUGAAGAGUGAUUGAGAGGUUGAGAUGCAUUGACAAAAGAAUACAUAAUCUUUUGAACAGUUGAGUUAAAGGAAGGAGAGAUAUAGGGGUUUAGUUAGAGAAGGUUGCAAAGUUCAAAAAGAAGAUUUAUUAGUAUUAUUACUACUAUUAUUAUUUAUAGCCUACUUGAAAGGAGUUUAAAAAGAAAAGAAUAGUAAAUGCAGGUUAGAAGAGGAUGAUAAAGGUACAAGUUGCCUUACAAGACUAGGAGAGCAGAUGUAGGAAGUAUGGAAAUAAAUUAGCAUUGAAGUAAAAAGAGAAACCUCUUCCUUUGAUAUAGAAAUGAAAAUAGUGGGGAUGAAUAUAUAUUUAAGUAAAUGUUAAGAUUGUAGGCUCAAAGUUAAGAUGGUAAGGAAGUUCUUGUCUACUGGCCUUUUUUCCCCCUAUGAACUUAAGGGAUAUGAUCGUCAUUGAAGUUGCAGCAGAGAUGGAAUAGGUAUCCAUCUUUACACUGAAGAGUUUACAAAGUGUAAGGAAACUAUGGACUAACCUUUGUGAGACACAGAAAAGACACUGAAGCAGUGAUGGUGAAAGGAUUGUCAAACAGUACAGGACAUACUACUGAGUUGGAGUCCACAAAUUUCUAGGGGCAGUAAUAUACACAAGUAUGUAAUAUGCUUUUGCAAUGCUCAGCAUUCCAAGUGCACAAGUGGAGAAGGCAUGUGGCUGGGUUUACUAUGGAGGUAAAUUCACAAGGUGGAUUCAGAGGGGUAAGGGUCUAUGGAUUUUGAAGUGCUAGUGAGAGUAGGAGAUUCAUCAUGGAUCAAGAUUGGCUAGAAAAAGAAGUCAUCAGGAGAGUGAUGAACUGGGAGAAAAUAGGAGGAUUUAAAGAACUAAGUCUCAAUGAGGUUAAAGAGCAGGUUGACAUAGGGAAAUAUAAUGACUCUAAGGAUAGGAGAUCAUAAUCAGAUAUUGAAAUAUUGGAAUUUACCAUUUCAGAGAUGAGGGUACUCCAAGGUCCAGAUUCAGCAAUGUGUUUAAAUUAUUAAAGUGGAAGAAGGACUUUGAGGUCAAAAAGUUUAAGAUAAGUUUGUUGGAUAGUCAUGCAUGUGCAUGAUACAAUCAUGAAUGAUCUUGGCAGGAGUUGGGACAGAAAUAAAAAUUGAGUCACACUAGAAUGCUCAAGGAUGAAAUGUGUGGGGUGUAGGAUACAGGGGAAAUAAUGAACAAAAGAGCUUUUAUUCAACUUAGAGUUUACAGUGUGGUAUUCACAGAUAUGAUUUCACUUAAUUUUCGCAAUCUAUCAAGUAGAUAUGACUAUUAGUCUAAUUUUAUAGAUAAGGAAACUGAGAUAGAAUUUGGGACUUGCCAAACAAACAUCACUCAAGUUAGUAAGUGACAGAGCUGGAAUUCAAGCCCAUAUUUUCUGACUUCAGAUCUCAUGUUCUUUCCAGGAUAACAUACUAUCUUAGCUGAGAUGAAAUCGUACCCCUUGGGGCACACAUUUAGCAGAGGGUACUCUAAAGAUAUAAUGCCUUAAACCAAACAAAACAAUAAUAUAAAUGUGAAAUUUAAGACCUCUUAUUAGGUAAGGGGUGCUUUCCCUGAGGCAAUGAUUAAAGAAAGGAAUUUCCCCCAGUUUGUGCCAAAGAAAAUGAAAGGCUUACAUACAUACAUCAGUCAAAACUCCCCUCAGCUGCUCCAAGGUAAAGAGCAGAACCAACCCUCAGCCAUACACCAUAGGUGCUUCUUAAUAUUCAAUUUAACUCAAUUACACCUGGACAAAAAUGUCAGGUGACAGGAUCAGGAAAUAAGGCAUGGAGCAUCUAGUAUCCUACUUAAAAACAACAUAAAAAAUGGAUGGUUCAGGUCUUAUUGUUCAUAUCUCUUUCAUGAUUCUCAUUUCCUCUCAAAGACAAAAGUACUGAUAAUAAUUUAAACAAAAUAUUCCGAAAACACCAAAUCUUUCUGGGAACAAGAAUCUGAGAGUCCCUGCUUUAGACAACAUUAUGGUAAUUUCUUUCUUCUGUUUGAUUUAACAUAACUAUUAAGGCAGGAAAAAAAGAUUUAAUCCUCUUUCCCACUUUCCUAUAAUUUUUGCCACUGGAGUUCAUCCAUGACAAAAACAGUGAAGGAAUGGGAUUGGUCUUUGGGAGUUGUUGGGGCUCCUUUCCUACCCAGUAAUAGUGGUUAGAAUAUGGCAGGUGUUAACAAAUGGUAACUAAGUUAUACUUAGCCUAAUAAUUAACUGAGGGCACUGCCCAUUAGGAGAGAAAACAUUCCAACAAUGGGAGAUUCAAAUACUCAAAAAAACAUUUUCAGAGAGCUUUGAAGGGGAAAAGAACCUAGUUCAAGAAUCUGAAGAAGCAACACUCCUUGAAUAUGGACAGGGCUGAAUAUUUGGAAGACUCAGGAAAGGGUCCUCUCUUAGGGAAAUGCCUAGUGGGCGUAUUACCAUGAGUUUAGAUAGAGUGGGCCCAUAGAUGGCAAGCCAGGAGAAAAUUGAAAUUGCAGAAAUUACAGAAGAUCUUUUGUAAGAUGCAAAAAUGUUAAGCAAGUUACAGCUGCCCAGACUGCAUGAAAAGGGUUUAAGCUAUAAAGCCCAAGCAAUGAAGUCCCUGAGGUUCUUUAUUUCAUAAGAUGUGGGUUUGGCUGUGGGUAGGAAGCAGACUUAGCUGAGAGGUGAGCUUCAGUCAGAUGCUGCCCUAUCAGUUUAUGAAAUUAAUUGCACCUCCAUGCCCAGUAGAGAAUUUACCACUACUCAAAUAGAUGCAGGAAUCGCCAGCCCAUGGAGAUCCCUAGGGUCAGAAAGAACUUUGAUGUGAAUAACAGUAAUGUAAAAAGUUUCAUUAAAAAGUCAGGAAACAACAGGUGCUGGAGAGGAUGUGGAGAAAUAGGAACACUUUUACACUGUU